rnacentral:lncRNA from 1 species
UUUUUUUUUGCCUACCAUUGUAAUCAUAACCAACAAACAAGUCAGAGGUAAAUAAUAUUAAGACUAGAUUGUAAAGGGGCAACACCUCUCUAAUGCAUUUUAUCAACCAGUUGAAGGGCAUAUACGAAUGACAACUUCAACCUUUAAAAGGGCAGCACCCAAAUCAUCUAUGAACAUUCACCGAAGUUCGGAUGAUCAGCAUUCAAGUUAUCCUAAAUAUUCACUUAAGUUCGGAGGGUCAACUGACCCCCUGCCCCUUAAUGCAUCUGCCCCUGGUAAGUUACCACGUCUGGAGCCACCCUUAAUCUUAUGCCGUCAAUUAUAACGGCUUCUGCUCUCUCCAGUGGCCAGGCCUUACAAAAGGAAGCCAUGCAAAUGUUCAACAGCCUCGUCGAUAAUCCAGAAACCAUCAUGUACAUCACGCAUAAUGACUUCCCACGAGAAACCCGAGCGGGCAACAUGUCAAAAUACGAUGUGUCAACGUACACCAUUUCCUCUUAUCAGUACAAAACCAAAUAUUGUAUAAGAAACAAUGUUUUAAAAGGCUCACAUCAGGGCGCGCUAAGCGUCCUCUGAGGCUGGACGUGAGGGUUGCCGUUUCUAUUUUGAAGGAGUGGGCGGAAGGCGUUGCCGGAACCACCUAGGCACACCUCAAGGUUUUUUUUUUUUUUUUUUUUUUUUUUUUACAAACUCCCAAACCCAAAUUUUGGGUAGGGUUUUAACUGCCUCAUACCUCUUCCUUGCACUAUCGUCUCUCUGCCUUUUUUUCUGAUUUUUUUAAUUUAUAUAAUAGAUGUGUGUGAUGUCUGCGUACAUUGUUAUAUGUGUGCUCAUUGUGCUUUUCAUCCUCUGUUUUCUAUAUAUAUAUAUAUGUGUGUGUAUAUAUAUUUGUAAUAUAUGUGUGUGCUCAUGGUGAUUAUUGAUUAAUAAUCUUUUAUUUUUUAAUAUAAUGUAUGUGUACGCUCAAUGUAUAUAUUAAAAAAUUUAGAUACCGUGACGUUUUGCCUCACGUCUAGGCUAGUUUAUCCCUCGGAUGCCUCAGCCCACAUCUUAUGCUUUUAAUACAUUAAUAAGAAAACACGUCAAUCUUGAAGCUUUGUUCCCCUUAAAACCCGACAUCAGUGGAUAUAAUCGGAAACUGGUAAUGCUAAUACAGUGGCAGCCGUCGGUGAAACCUCUCCCCCUCCAAUGUAUUCACAACUGUGGCGGGGAAGCUUUUGUUGGUCAGAACAUGGUCAAAUUUUUCAUGCCAUUGCUUUGGAGCUUGUUUAAGCCCAUAUAGCGAUUUCACAAGUUUACACACUUUGUGUUCUUUACCUUUAACUACUAACCCCUCGGGUUGUUCCAUAUAUAUUUCCUCAUCUAAGUUUCCAUUUAAGAAUGCAGUUUUUACAUCCAUUUGAUGUAUUUCCAUGUUAUGGAGUGCAGCUAUAGCAAUCAAUAAUCUUAUUGAAGUAAUUCUCGUUACAGGUGAGUAUGUAUCAAAGAAAUCCAAACCAUGUUUUUGACGGUAUCCUUUAGCUACCAAACGAGCCUUAUAUUUGUCAAUUGUACCAUCUGGUUUUAAUUUCUUCUUAAAGAUCCAUUUGUACCCAAUUGGCUUAUUGCCAGGGGGCAAAUCGACUAAUUCCCAUGUAUGAUUUUGCAUAAUGGAAUCUAUCUCACUGUUUACUGCAUCCUUCCAAAAUGGAGCUUCAGGAGUGGACAUGGCCUCCUUGAAUGAUUGAGGUUCUGUCUCAGUUAAUAAAGUCACAAAAUCAGGCCCAAAGUCCUUUCGGAUUUUUGUCCUUUUACUUCUUCUAGGUUCAAGUUCUUCUUCUUGAACUCUAGACGAAGUUGAACCAUCAUCAUGUUCUCUAGGUUCAUUUAUAACCUCAGAUACAUCAUCAUGUAUUCUCUUUUUCAAUAAAUUAGACUUGCCUAUUUUGUAUGGAAAAACAUCCUCAAAAAAUAUUGCAUUUAUAGAUUCUAUAAUAGUAUUAACAUGUAUAUCACUUACUUCGGAAUGAAAAACUAAGAAUCUAUAAGCUGAACUAUUAGAUGCAAAACCAAUAAAAACACAAUCUAUAGUUUUAGGCCCUAAUUUUGUUCUCUUUGGCAAUGGGACUUGUACUUUUGCCAGACAACCCCACACUUUAAGCAAUUUAAAUGUAGGGGUUCUUCCUUUCCAUAAUUCAUAUGGUGACUCCUUUCUCGUUUUAGGUGGAAUUCGAUUCAAAAUUUUAUUUGCAGUAAGUAAAGCUUCACCCCACAAAUUGUGUGGAAGUCCAUAACUAUUCAACAUAGAAUUGAUCAUGUCUUUAAAAGUUCUAUUUUUCCUUUCGGCAACACCGUUUGUUGUGGUGUAUAGGGGGCUGUUGUUUGAUGAAUUAUGCCAUGUGUGGCACAAAAUUCAGCAAAAGCAUGAGACUCAUAUUCUCCUCCCCUAUCGGACCUUAAGACUUUAAUCUUCUUGUUAAGUUGAUUUUCAACUUCUGCCUUAUAUGUCUUAAACAUAUCCAAGGUCUCAUCUUUGCUAUGAAGUAAAUAAACAUAACAAUACUUACUGAAAUCAUCUCUAAAUGUUACAUAAUAAUUCUUUCCACCACGAGUUGGAUAUGAUCUAAAAUCACACAAGUCACUAUGAAUUAAAUCUAACAAAUCAUUGGAUUUUUCAUGCACCGAUUUAAAGCUUUGACUUGCAAAUUUUGAUUCUGUACAAGUUUCACAUUUAGCAUUAUCUAGAUAAUCAAUUUUGGGCAGCAAACCUAAAUUAUGCAUUCUAAAAAGAUAACGAAAAUUUACAUGUCCUAACUUAGAGUGCCAUAAAUUAGACGAAUCAACAAUAUAAGCAGUAGCAUUAUUUAUUUCAUUCAUAGCAUUAGCAAGUACAUUGAGUUUGAAUAAUCCAUCAGCAAGGUAACCCUUUCCCACAAACAUUCCCCCUUUCGUUAAUACAAACUUAUUGGACUAAAAAACUAGUUUGAAUCCUUUAUUAUUAAGGAUAGGACCAGAAACAAGAUUCUUCCUUAUAUCGGGGACAUGCAGUACGUCAAGAAGGGUCAAUUCCUUUCCAGAAGUGAAUUUCAGAACACACUUCCCUAUUCCAGCCACAACAGAUGAGGAUGCAUUUCCCAUAAACAGCUGCUCGUUUCCCUCUAUUUUCUGGUACGAAGAGAACAUAUUUCUGUCACUACAAACAUGGCGAGUUGCACCGGUAUCUAUCCACCAAUCAGCAUGGUCAGAUACAAGGGUUGAUUUCAGAAAUCAUUGCAGCCAGCGCAUCCACAUUGUUUUGAAUCAGGUUUUGCGCGGUUUGUUGUUGCCUUUGAUUUCCAGGACCUUGAUCCCUUCGAUGGCGACAUUCUUGAGCCCUAUGGCCUUGCUUUCCACAAACCCAGCAACUUCCCUUGAUUUUCUUGAAGUCUUUGCCUUUCGCACCAGGGAUAAAGUGGAUUUCCUUCUUCUUAGUUUUCUGGAAUUUUGGCCUUUGCUUUGAUGAACUUCCUUUCAACAACAUUCGCCUUGGCUUCCAUAUACUCGAAACCAGGCCCUUCUCAUUCUUUCUGUUAUCUUCCUCAAUUCUCAGCCUUACAAUGAGAUCCUCAAGGGUCAUCUCCUUUCGUUUGUGCUUGAGAUAACUCUUGAACUCUUUUCCAAGAAGGUGGCAGUUUUUUCGAUAAUGGACGCCACUUGGAAAGACUCAUUGAUUACCAUCCCUUCAACAUGAAUGUCAUGGACGAUUUUUUGGAGAUCUUCAGUUUGAGAGUUUGAGAGACAACAGACUUGGAAUCCACCAUUUUGUAGUCCAAAAAAUUUGCCCACGACAAAUUUCUUUGAACCAGCAUCCUCGGUUUUAUAUUUUUUCUCAAGUGAUUCCCACAGUUCCUUGGCUGUUUUGCACACCACGUAGACACAUCAUACAAUGAAUCAUCUCUAAUGCAUUAAGAAUAUAGUUUCUGUAGAGGAAAUCAUUAUGUUUCCAGGCAUCUAUAGCCGUCAAAGUUUCUGCAGAAAAAAUAUUUUCUCCAUCUGCAGUAGGUUCAGUCUGGUGCACAACAUUAGCCAAAUUUAAGGUUGUCAGAUAAAACAGCAUUUUCUGCUGCCAUCGUUUGAAGUCUCCGCCCUUAAAUUUCUUAGGCUUCUCAGAAAGAGGUUUAGUUCCAGAUUGUUCCAUACUGUUCGAAGAUUGUUGGAGAACAAUUUAGAAACAGAAAAAUAACAGAAAUACAGAACUUGAAAUAUUUAUACUACUUUAUUACUAAAAAAUACUUGCAAUACAGAAUGAUACACAACGACUACAGAAAAUUAAAUAUGAGAUAUAUCAAAAGUACUAACUUGAUUACAGAAGGUAGAGGCUAGCGUAAAAGCUAUGUCCUUCGAACAGUAAUUUCGUCCCACUCUUGUGCUUGUGGUUCUACAAACGUCUACUCGACCAGGAUACAACUACCUAAUCCUACAACCCGCACUGGAUUAUAGAAUUCUUAGCGAAUUGCUGUGUGUUUACUCUCUCUGGAAAGUUUGUACGGAAGAAAAAGGAAGAAGAAAGGAUUAUUGAUGAUGAACUGAGGACUCCAGUUAUAUAGGCUCUUUCAUACCUCUUCAAAUACCUUUUGGAUGUAUCUGAAGCUUUACAACUCUUCAAAAGUUUUUAAUUAAUUUAAUUAAAAACUUAAUUCGAAAAUUAAAAUUGAAUAUUUUAAUAUUAAUUUUUUAAUGAAAUAAUAUUAAGAAAUGUAAUUAAUAAGACUUUUUAAUUUCAGAUGAAUGGAAAAAAAAAGAGUCUAAUUGAUAGUUGAAGAAUUCAAAUUCAUGAGAUUGUAUCUGUUCGUUGAAAAUUUUUAGACAACAGUCAUAUUGUUCAAAAAGGGUGGCUUGAUAUGUCUCAACUAUAAACUCAAGCAUCCCACCUGUCUAACAAAAAUAGAGAUUUAAAUGAAAUAUUUUCUAAUAUUGAAGAAUUUCAAUUCAGAAAAAUAUGAAAUUCAAUAAUUGAUUUGAAGAUUUCAAAUGAAAUAUUCUUAGGAUAUUGUUCAUUCAAACAAGAAAUCUAUAAGGGAUCGGACCGCCUUUAAAAUAUUCAAAACCAAGAAUUUUCACAAUGUUCAGUAAAAUUAAGACUGAAUUUGAAAGAGUAAUACAGAUUAUAUGAAGUUCGCCAGAAUCCGAAGAUUGAAGUGCUUUGACUUCUUCAUUAUAGAUUGUUGAAUCCUGGGAGACGGACGCCUACCAUACAAGCAAAGGGCGAACUUCAGUUCUUUAUUUAUGCAAGCUCAAUUCUUCAAAGUUUGUCAGUUUUCCUAACUUUAUCUCUAAUUGUUUUUAUGAUUUUCAUAUUUACUAUUGACGUUGUGAUUUUCUUUUAUGAUUUUCAUAUUAUUUUCUAAUUUGCUAUUUCCAACAAUCUAAAAAGACAGAAAUUUCUUUAUGCAAUAAUUAGAAAAAUAUGGAUUUAAGAAAUAAUUAUAUUGAGAAAGUAGGACAGAAUGAUCUGAAUAUAUGUUAGUGAAACUGCCGUUUAAAAAUUAGACUUUUGAGACACAUGGAUAUUGCUGUGAAGGUAUUGUUCUUGAUCUUCAUUAAGAACGACAUGGGCAGUUUUUUAAGUAAAAAGAGAAUGGAUAGUAUUGGAGUUCGAUUCGUGCCUUUUGUUUUGAAUGAUUUUGAUUCAAACAAAAGAGGUGUCCCAACAUACUUUUUGGGGUCCCUUAAAAUUUGACCCUUCACACUGUAAGAGAUGCUGGGUUUAGAUUGGAUGUUAGAUGUGGUUCUGCCAACUCGUAGCAGUUCUUGGAAAAGUUCCUUUUGCAGAAAGGAAUUGCAUCUGCAUAAUUGAUGUAGUUAAUCCUUAUUAGGCAGAUGCGCGAAGGCUUCAAGGCCAUAGUGAAUUAUCUCAGAGUUUUAAUUGAGUUAAUAUGACCUUUCAGUUGUACGGUAUAGUUCCGUAUAAAUGGAAACUGUCUAAUGGAAACCACAAAAUUGGGUUUGCCAUAAAUCGGGAAUGGUCCAGACUAAAAGCCAAGUCCUUUGAGAACAAUAAGAUGCCAAAAGUGUGGGGAUUUUUUGUAAAUUUGCAGAAAGACGUUAUGUUGCUUAUUUAGUAAGCAAUGGCAACCAAUGAGUGUGUUUUAUCAAUGGUUACUCAUGGUAAGAAAGCUUUUGUGAUAACAAAAGAAGAUACUGCAUUCAAAUUAAAUCUUUGAACUCAUUUUAGAUGAGUUAUUAUCAUCUUGAAAAGAAUAGACACUCAAUGUGAGAGGAAUUAUACAUUGGAAGUGCGGGUGGUCUUUGAGAAAAGAAAAAAUUAGACACUAAAAUGUGGGAUAUUUGAAAAUAUGUAUUAUGCCUGAUGAUGCUUAUAAUAUAAUAUUAUAAUAUAAUAUUAUAAUAUUUAAUAUUAGUUUGAAUGAAAAUCAUAAAGAAAAUCACAACGUCAAUAGUGAAUAUGAAAAUCAUAAAAACAACUAGAGAUAAAGUUAGGAAAACUAACAAACUUGGAGAUUGAGGCUUGCAUAAAUGCAAUGUCCUAAAGAUAGAAUUUCGCCCCUACUCUUGUGCUUGUAGUUUGAUAGGCGUCCAUCUCCCAGGAUUCAACAAUCUAUAAUCCGAAGUCAAAGCACUUCAAUCUUCGGACUCUGGCGAACUUCAUAUAUUCUGUACUCUCAAGACACAACUCGGAUUUCUACUAAGACAUUGGAAAAAAACUCUUCUCUUUUUCCUGUUAGACAGGUGGGAUGCUUGAGUUUAUAUAGAACUCAAGCCACCCUUUUUGAAUUCAUCUGGUACAUGUGGAUGCUCUAAGCUAUGAAUAACACAAACCAAUGGCUAUGUACAUUCAGUUUCAUAUGCUUACUUAAUAAGCAUAACCUUGUCUAAUUCAAUUGUGCAUGCUUACUCAAUAAGCCUCUUUUUCAGUGUCUCGUCAUUCCUUUUACGAAAGACCCCCACACUUUAACUUAUUGGUUGCCAUGACAUUUCCCUCUUCUCGAAAAUGCAGACUUCUUUAAAGUAGCAUGAAAAAAGUAUGUACACUUUUAUUGAGGUCCACACGCAAACUAUCCAAACACUGACGUUGUUCCUCGUUUAAAUAAUUUCAAGACUUAAUCUUCUCUCAAUCAUGGCCUCUUUGUAUGUCUAUCUUCUAAACCAAAUUCCAGUGCCUUUUCAUCAGAUGAUGCCAAGUGGUGCAUCUUCUCAACUACCCCAAAGACACAAUUCAGUGAAAGAGGAAAGACAUCUUUUGGUGGUAAUAAAAGGAAAUCCUUAAAACAUAGAUGCAUUCAAAUCCAAUGCUAACAUUCACAAGGCAUAUCAUUUUAAUCCACUAAUAUUUCUUUAGGAAAUAUUGGGCACAACCAAACAUCGAAUUGCUCUGCAUUUGUUCAUGAAUAUAGAUGGGAAAAAUCAUCGUUCAUGCUAUCGUCAGUCUCAACCAAUUGAUUGGAAUAGAGACCAUGUAAUUCAUUUCCAUUGAAACGUAUCAUGAUUUACACCUCUUCAUGUAGAGUUGUAACUUUCAGAUUGCAAAAUCUGAAAGAAAACCUAUAUCCAAAUUGCCACAUAACAUUCUUAAUUUAAUUACGGUCGUGGAAGUCAUGAUGCCCUUCCAACGUUUAGCAAAGAGGCAGCCCUUUCCCUUUGUUCAUUUGUUGGGUAUAAAAGGAUGUCAUCUCCAGAGACACGGCAGACGGCAAAACACACCAAGCAUAUAACUGACACAAGGAAAAACAGUUUUCCAAUUUGGAACUCCACUUUACCCCAAACAGCACCACCAGUUUGCAUACUGAUCAUUGUAUCAAUUCCAAUAUUUCUUCAAUUCACCACCAGUCCCUUCACUGGCACUUGAUCUUUCUCUAUUUUGUAUACUGAAUAUACAACAAGCAACAUGCAUUCUGAUCUAACGCUAGACUCAGCAACAAAUACUCAUUCUUUUUUUUUUAUUUCUCUGUAAAGAACACUCUGGGCAUCAUUCCAUAUGACAAAUUCAAAUUUUAACUUGGUGGGAACUGGUCAAAAACAUCAUACCCUUUCACUAUCAAAUGCAGAUAUAUUUUUUAUUUUAUUUUAUUAAUCUCUUAUGCAUGGCAAAUUCAUUUUAUAGACAAUAGCCAGGACCAAGAGGUAUACAUAUACUCAUGUAUGCCAUAACAUACAUAUGCAAACAAUGAAAGCACGUAAAUAACUGCCAUGAAAGGCGAAAGACAUCUUCCAGUAUAUAUAAAUCAGAAGUUCAAAAACGUAUGAUGCAGCCAACACUAGUAUGGCAACAUACAGACAUUAUUCUACUAAUAUACAUCAAUAUGCAUAUAAAACUCAGCCCCACAAAUCUUUCAAAGAAUGAUCAGAGUUUCUUCUUUUUAGCGUUUAGGGCUACAUUCAAUGUUAUUGAUUUUUAACUUCUAUUACUCAUACUCAUGUUCUCUAACAAUGCAAGAGAAAAAAGUUUUUGUCUUUAGAUUGUUGGAGCAAUAUUAGAAAAUAUGAAAAUAACACAAGAAUUCCAUUAAUAAUAAUCAUAAAGAAAUUCACAACAUCAAUUUAUAUAUGAGAUUAUAAUAUAAACAACUAGAAAGAGUUAGAAAAACUGACAAACUUGGAGACUGAGGCUUGCAUAAAUGCAAUUAAUGUCCUAAAGACAGAAUUUCGCCUCUACUCUUGUGCUUGUAGUUUGGUAGGCGUCUGUCUUCCAGGAUUCAACAAUCUAUAAUCCAAAGUCAAAGCACUUCAAUCUUCGGACUUUAGCCAACUUCAUAUAUUCCGUACUCUCAAGACACGAUUCAGAUUUUUACUAAGACAUUGGAUAAAACUCUUCUCUUAAUUUUUUUAGACAGGUGGGAUGCUUGAGUUUAUAUAGAACUCAAGCCACCCUUUUUGAAACAAUAUGACUGUUGUCUAAAGUUUCAACGAACAGAUACAACUCAUGAAUUUGAAUUCAACUAUGACACAUAAUUCUUAUUUUUCAUUCAUACAAAAAUUAAAUAUUAUAAUAUUAAUUAUAAUAUAUAAUUUCCAACCGCUUUUAGGCAAUAAAUUUUUGAAUAAGGAAUCUAAACCAAUAUCGGCUGUGAUAACAAGUCCAUCAGACAAAAACGUCCACGAGCUAGAAAGAAAUUUUUUGGCAAUAAUAACAUUACAAAGUGAUUAACUCAUACUAAAUACAAAUCUAAACUGAUAAUGUUAUCGUUCGAUUUGCAUAGCAUCCUCAUCAACAAUGUCAUGCGAAAUGUGACUCUCAAAUCAUUUUAUCAACUGAUUUCCCACUGCAUUGUACAAUCAAUUAUUCAUUGUGUUGGUCGCAGAAUACUAUGUAUGGGCAAUUUUUCUUCUUGCAUAAAGUCAUAACUUUUUUAUAAUUCAUUUGUAUUUUUACUAUAGAUUGAUUUUAAAAACAUUUUCAUUAAAAACGUUUUUACUUAUUUUAAAACAAAUACAAUGGAAAGAUACACAACACCAACUCAAAAGCAACUCAACAGCUAAAAGUGCUUUCGCAUAGUGGAUUCUAUUGCCGAGACACGGUAGGGAUUGUCUGUCUCCGAAUAUACGGAGUUCUAAAAGACGAUUGCUUUGAACCAAACAGAGAAUCCAGAAAGAACAAAAAAACCCAUCAAUGGAACAAACUCGAAGAGUAAAUUUACAAUUCACAGCUCCACAGUAGACAGGGGAGAGAGAGAGAGUAGCCGGUGAGAAAUCCGAAUCCAAAAAAUGGAGGUGGACCAAAACAAGGGGCAGCUUGGUUUCCUCCAAUUAGGAGUUUCAGUGGGAGGAGCGGGAGCGUGAGAGGGAGGGAGAGCUGGAGCCUGGACGCAGGAGACGCUCCUACUCUUGGUCGAGGCGCUGAACACGGUUGCAAGCAGAAGCGCUGAAGUUUUUUUUUUUUUUUCCAUUUUUUAUAUAUAUUUAUUUUUUAAACAUUUUCUUCUUACCAUUAUCAGGAAAACGGUCCGAUGAUUUUUUUUUAUUUGUAAGUGGAAAAUUUUAAGUUUUUAUUUGUAAAUGAAAAAUUUUAAGUUCGAACUUGUGGCUUAAUCGAACACUUUUCUUUCUUAAUUAAAUAUAUCCUUGUAUUAAAAAAAAUAACAAUAAAAACUUCUUCUUCUUUGGGUAUGGGCUGGGCUAGUACCCAUAGGUUUUUUUAAUUUAAAAAGUCAAAUUUGAUACUAUUUACUUUAUCUUUUUUUUUUCCUUAUCUUUAAAAUUCAAAGUUUUCAAUUUAUUUUUAUUAGUUUUUUUUUUUUAACGUACAGUAAUGGCAAAUCUAUUAAUUUGAUGUAUUUAGUAAAUGUCUCCAAUAAUCCACCAAUCACAUGCCGUACCUAAAUUAAUUUACACAAUUUUUUUUAUCAUUUCUGUAAAGUGGGUCCCAUAAUAUAAUAUAAAAGUAAUUUGAGGGAGGAUCCUUACCGGAUUAUUUUUGUGAUGAUCCUAGAGAUGUUCUAAUCACAUUUGUUCAUCGAAUAUUGUAUGGUCAGUUUUCUUCAUAUGCUUUUAUAUUCAAUUUUAAAUAAAAAAUUACAAUGAUUUAUAAUCGUAUAAUGUACACUCAAAAGAUGUGAUUUGAGGAUUUUCAGAAUCAUCACAAAGACAAUCCGGCGAUGAUCCUCACUCAAAUAAUUUAACUCAUGCUUUGGAAAAAUGAAUUUAAAAUUUAACUUCAAACUGCCCUGUCAGAUGUCAAAUAAAAUUUCACAAUCCAAAAAUUUAACAUUUUCAUUUUCAUUAGAGAUGCUUUGAGUUCAAAUCUUCUGCACUAGGUGUUAAUAUUUAAUAAUAAAAAAAAUUAAAAUCAACAUAGUAAAAUGACGAAAUUGACAGAAAAAAAAUCAUAAAUCUCCCUUAACAACACACGUAACGAAAUUAGCAGAAUUAAAGUAAUGUAAAGUGAAUUUUAGUAAUAUAAAGCGAAUUUUGAGUUUUAUAUAAUAAAAUAACGAAUUUUGAGUUUCAGAUAGCAAAAUCAGAUCAUAAAAUUGAGUUCUAGCCUUCUAGGUGGCAAAGUAUAUUGAAUUUUGAGUUUCGAAGAGUAAAAUGGUAACUUUUGAGUUAUAAGCACAAAGAGAUAUUAAAACUGAGUCUUUGUUUUUUGGGUUAGGACAUGCCGAUAUGGUUGGUAUGUGUGUUCGACAUGGUGCAAAGGAUCCCUUUCAUCAAAUUCUUUUCUCAAUCCAUGGAUCUUCAAGGGCUACAAAAAAAGAGUUUUUUAAAAAUUAUAAUAAUUUUAGUUGUGGAAUUAAAUUUCAAGAACCACGAUUGAUGGAUUGAGAUGAUUUGGUGGAAGAGAUACGAAGAUGAUCAUUUUCCCGACAUGAUAUGUACAUUUUCAUCGGUUGGGGCCAGAUAUGACGUGUGAAAGACCCGGAUUGUUCGGGAUAAUUAAAUUACAUUGCACACAUUCAUUCUCUUUACGCUUCUCGUUUCAUCUCAUCACUUCAUACAAAAAUAAAUAAAUAAAAUAAAAAAGGUAUAAAAAUUAUAAAUAUUAAAUCCCGGCCCAAACGGUCCCCAAACCCAAACCAGGCUCUCGACAGAAAGUUUCGAAUUCGAAUUUCAAAUUGCCGAAACGAAACGAAACGAAGAGAGGAGAGCGUUCGCGACCUUUCACUUUCUUUUGAUUCAUUCAUUUAAUCAAAUUAUUGAUUGAUUGAUUCGCGCGAAAUCGAAAUUCAUACUCUGUACGACGUCGUGCUGAUUGAUCAACAACUUUCACGAUGGUGGGGGGCGGCGGUAUAGCCAUGGAUUUUCCGGCCGAAGAGACGGCGUCGUCCUUCUCUUCGCCUCCGAGACUUCCCACGAGGCUCAGACGGAGGCUCAGCCUUGUCGACUCAAACAAGACUCCAACCACCGCCGAACAAAUUCAGACCAAGCUCAGACUCGCCGAUCUUCGCCGUCAGGUCCCUCUCUCUCUCUCUCUAUUUUUACUAUUCAUUUCUUAAAUUUGUUUAAUUUUUGUUCUUGAAUUUGUGGUUUUCUGUUUGUGUACUGAGAAAGUUUUGAUGAUAAUUUGGAACGGGAAAAUUCAAUGACUGAACUGAGACAUAUACUUCAGUCAAGAACUGUUAUUCUUAAUUUGCUUUUAAUUUUAAUUUUAGGUAGGUGAUGCUGUUAAUUUUUCAUACUUUUUUUCUGAACUUUUUGGUUCCAAAUUUUGAGAUGAUAUUCAGAUGUACUUGCUCUCCUAUUGUUUCCUUGUACAAUCUUUGUGAUCGGAAUUGAACGGAAAAGGGUUUUGCUUAUAAUUUUCAUAUAUCAAAAACACCUUGUGAAUUUUGAUACAGUUUUUUUUUUCGUAUUUUUAUUUGAGAAAAUUUAGUUUUAUGGACAUUAGGUUGUUUAUACCUUCCAUUUAAAGCGUGUUGAGUUUGCUUGUGUUAGGUAAGGUUGUCUGAAAUCUGGGUUUUCUUCCUUUUCACAUGGGUGUCUCUGCUUUUAAGUUUGGAACAAGUAACAGUAAUUUUUUUUUUUGUGAGCUAAAUGUUCUCCUUUUCCCUCUUUGAUACUUCCAUAUGCAUAUGUGUGUGUCUGUGUUUGUGCGCGCGUGCGUAUAUAUUGUGUUUUGGUAAUCGUACUUUCUUGCCAAACUCUAUGUUUUGUAGCAUAAAAUUUUGUUAAUUCCUUUCUUAAGCGUGCUAGUGUUUGUAUCUAGUUUUUAACCUGAAUUCUGACGUUUUGAAUUUCAUUAAUUGGUUUGAGUACAGGAACACUAUGAAAAGUUGUCAAGCAAGGCACGAGCAAAGCCGAGGAAUCCCUCACGAUCUUCAUCUGAAGGGGAAGACCUUGGCCAGCGCCUAGAAGCCAAGCUACAAGCUGCUGAGAAGAAAAGGUAACACUUCAGUUUAUAUAGUUUAAGAAGCUCAUCCUUCUCCGAUGCUGUUGGCUUAGAAUAAUGCUUAAUUUCACUGUCCAAUGUUUUCAUGGUCCACAAUGUUUUGAAUAGUCCCUCUUCGUUCUGAAGGAUUUCAACAUUAAACAUUUUAUUGAUGUGGUUGCUCAUACAAAUUCACUUUUCCAGUUUAUUCCUUUCAUGAUUGAAAAUAUUCUUUUUGAAUCUCACCAGAAAGCAAACACGAGAGACUCUCUCAGACACAUCUAUUCGGUCCUUUUUUUCAAUUGGUUUUUAUCGUGAACGGUGAAUUGUUUCUUUUGUAAAGUUGGGCUCUUUUCUUUUAUCCCUAUUAAGUUAUGACUUGGACCAAAGCUAGACUAUCCAUUAGUUGACCAUGCUUCCUCCAGUCCCUAGGUCCUGAUUAAUCUUGUCAUUCUGUUGCUUUUUGUUGAACCAACAGGUUGAGCAUUCUCGAAAAUGCUCAAAUGCGCUUGGCUAAAUUGGACGAAUUGAGGCAAGCAGCUAAAAGUGGGGUAGAAAUGCGUGUUGAAAAGGAACGUCAAAAGCUUGGCUCGAAAGUGGAAUCACGUUUUCAGCAGGCAGAGGCAAAUAGAAUGCUCUUGCUCAAAGCUUAUAGACAAAGAAGGGCUACUUUGAAGGAAAGAACAUCUCAGUCAUUAUUGCGGAAGAUGGCUUGGGAGAAGAAGUACAAGGAGCGUGUACGUGCUGCAAUUAGCCAAAAACGUGCAGCUGCUGAAAAAAAGCGAUUGGCGCUUUUGGAAGCAGAGAAGAAUAGGGCAUGUGCAAGGAUGUUGCAAGUGCAAAGAGUGGCCAAGUCUGUCUCUCAUCAACGUGAGAUUGAAAGGAGGGCAAAAAGGGAGCAGUUAGAAGACCGGUUGCAAAGGGUAUGCAUUCCUUUUGGAGUUACACAAUCACAAUUUAUUUCUCAGUUCCACUGGUGGCUUUUUGCGGUUGUUCUAGUGUUCCCUAAUAAACUUUUAAUUUUUGGUUUUAUAUUUAGGCAAAGAGGCAAAGAGCAGAGUAUCUAAGGCAAAGAGGAAAGCUACAGAUAUCUUUUCAAGUGAGUUGGAAUAGGAUGCACGAGGAGGCUGAUCUCCUUUCCAGAAAGUUAGCAAGGUAUGCAUCCUCUGAAAUGCUGAUUUCAGAGAGUUUUCCCUGUUUGGUUAACUUAAACCUUCCUUUGUCUGUGUCAAAGCCUUGUUCUGGUAUUUCCCAGUAGAUGUUUGGUAUUCCUUAUUGUGUUUGGCUGUGUACCAGAGUCAGUCGUAUUUUGUUUGGUGGUUGUGAAGAUUAGAUUAAGUUUCACCUGUUUCUAUGCCAGUGAAAAUUAUUAGCUUGUAAAAUGCUAUUAUCUAUGGCAUUGUUGUUGUUGUUGUUGUAACAUGCUCUUAUCCUAUUCUUCACCUCAGUUUAAACUACAACUUUCAGCCUAAAUUUGUGUUGAUGUUUUAAUAGGUGUUGGAGGCGUUUCCUCAUGCUAAGGAGAACUACACUUGCUUUGGCAAAAGAUUAUGAUGCCUUGAAAAUUAAUGAAAAGACUGUCAAGUCAAUGCCGUUUGAGCAGCUCGCAAUUUUGAUUGAAUCAACUAAUACCCUUCAGACUUUGAAAGCUCUUCUUGACAGGCUUGAGAUCCGGUUAAAAGUUUCCAGGACUGUUGCCUCAAUAAAUUAUCCAUCCAGCUUUGAUAACAUAGACCACCUUCUCAAACGAGUUGCUUCCCCAAGAAAGAGGACUACACCAAGGACAUCUUUAAGGAGCAGAGAUGCAAAGAAAGAAUCUUCCAUCAGGGACGCAGCUAGAAAUUCUGUUAAAUUAUCAAGGUAUCCGAUGAGAGUGGUGCUUUGUGCUUACAUGAUUUUGGGUCAUCCAGAUGCGGUUUUCAGUGGUAGUGGAGAGCCUGAAAUUUCUCUGGCCAAAUCUGCAGAAGAGUUUGUUAGACAGUUUGAGUUACUACUAAAAGUUAUAUUGGACAGCCCUGUACAGAGUUCUGAUGAAGAGUCUGAUUCCGCAUUGCCCAAACAUUUGACCUUCAGAUCUCAGCUUGGAGCCUUUGAUAAAGCAUGGUGUUCCUACUUGAAUUGUUUUGUGGGUUGGAAGGUUAAGGAUGCUCGGUUAUUAGUGGAAGAUUUAGUGAGAGCAGCGUGCCAUUUAGAGCUCUCCAUGAUUCAAACUUGCAAGAUGACUCCGCAAGGAGAGAGUGGUGAUCUUACUCAUGAAGUGAAGGCUAUUCAGAAACAGGUAUGUUAGUUGUAUAUUGAUUUAUGCGUAGGGGAGAGAAGACAUAAGAAACUGGCACACCCUCCUCUCUAUUUUAGGUUUUACUUUCCGUGAUAAACUAAUGUGUUUACACACCCCCCUCUUUCCGUUUUCUACUUAUUCUUGUUGCUUGCUUGUGAACUUGUUUUCACUUACAAAUCAUUAUGAGUUUGUAUGGGAAAACAUACAUGUCAUGGUUAUGGUCUGUGAACUUUCCGAAAAGUGAAAGGCAUUCUUGCUAACUUUCAUCUCUUUCAGUGAUUGGGGCCAUUUUUUAUAUAAUUUCUCAGUAAAAGAAUAAGCUAAAUAUUGACUAGUUUUACAAAUUUACUUUGUAGGAAUUGUUCAACUUUGUCUUCUUUUCUUUUUUUUUUUGAAAAUCUAGCAGUAUCUUUGUGUUGACUUAUUGAUUGACAAUUUGAGUUACCUGUUGGCGUAGGUUACUGAAGACCAAAAGUUACUGAGGGAAAAAGUGCAGCACCUAGGUGGAGAUGCUGGGAUUGAGCGUAUGAAAUCUGCUAUAUCUGAAACACGGUUAAAAUACUUUCAAGCAAAGGAAAAUGGAAGCCCGUCGGGGUUGCAGCAGGUCACACACAUUACUUCUCCAAGUCCCCCUAGUUCACCACUCAGUCCUUCUGCUAGUGCAGAUAAGAGAAGUGAUUCAGGUCGUGUAGUCCGAUCCUUAUUUAGGGAAGAUGAUACUGCCCAUCAUGGAGUUGUGUCCUCUGCUCCAAAAACCAGUUUGGAUCAGCAGCUUGGAUCUUCUUCACAAAAGUUGGUCACAGAGAAUGAAUUGAUUGUGAAUGAGUUUCUCCAUGAGCAAAAGCAGGCUUUUGCCGAUAUUUUUAAUGUUAAUGACGAAGAUCCAAACAAUGUCCAGGUUUGUGCAUUUUCAUAUUUUAAAAUAGUGGUUUUAACUUAAAGAUGUAAUUCUUAUUGUUUUGGAUGUUGACAGGCUCACAAGUAAUGCUUUUUCAUCUAUUUAUGGUGGUCAUAUUUUGAAAAUAAAAUUUAGUUUGUUGUUAUACAUGUUUUUACUGAUGAUAAGCUAGAAAUUUUAGCACUUGUCUGACUGGUAGUAUUAUAUUUUCCAGUCAAAGAUUAGACAGACAAUGGAGAAGGCUUUCUGGGAUGGCAUAAUUGAAUCUGUAAAACAGGACGAGCCCAACUAUGACAGAAUAAUUCAACUCAUGAUGGAGGUGAGGGAUGAAAUCUGCGAGAUGGCUCCACAGAGCUGGAAGCAAGAGAUUUUUGAAGCUAUUGAUGUGGAUAUUCUCUCUCAGGUAGCAGCACCGUUAAUUUUCUUCUGCAACAUUACCUUCAUAUGCAUGUAUGGAAAAUUAAAUUAUUUUCUUUUCCUUAGGUUUUAAAGUCUGGUAACCUGGACAUUGAUUACCUGGGAAAGAUCCUAGAGUUUUCAUUGGUCACAUUGCGAAGGCUCUCCUCUCCAGCGAAUGAUGAUGAAAUGAUGGCCACAUACCAGAGUUUAAGGAAAGAACUAAAUGAGAUAUGUCAAACCAGGGACGAUUCCAGCUGCUCAAGUGUCCUGGCAAUGGUCAAGGGCCUGCGUUUUGUUCUAGAGCAGAUUCAGGUAUGUCUCUAGUUUUAGUUGUACAUCUGAAAAAGGUUUCACAUAACGUCUUUCGUUGAAUUAUUGGUGUUGUGUAUUUUGUAGUAGUAUUUGCGAAUUGUUGCAUGAGACUCGAAAAUGUUUUCAGUGUAUUUGAUAGUUACCUUUCUUUAUCCCAAAACACAGUAUUUCAAACACUUCUGUUAAAGUUCUUUUUAGUCAGUGGAUUCAAGUGUCAUAAUGUAGUUUGAAAUACCAAAGAUUCCCCCAGAGUGAUGUAAUGUUGAAUUCUGUAACAGGUGCUUAAACGAGAGAUUAGCAAAGCACGUAUAAGACUUAUGGAACCUUUGUUAAAGGGGCCAACUGGUGUGCAGUACCUGAGAAAAGCUUUUGCCGAUCGCCAUGGAUCUCCCUCUGAUGCCAAUACCUCUCUACCACUUACAGCACAGUGGCUUUCAACAGUGUGGGAUUGCAAAGAUCAGGAGUGGCAAGAACAUACAAUCUCUUGCUCAACACUGACAAGCGGCGAUAAUCCAUCUCAGGGGUUUGUUCCUACCACCUCCCUUAGAAGUGGUGGAAGCUUUCUGGUGAAAGCAAAUUCUCCUUCUACUUCUGCUGCUACUAAUAGCACAGGUUUGAAAAUUACAUUUUGUAAAUUUUCAUUUUAUUUUAAGGAGAUGUUUGUAAUCGCAAGGUGGGUUCUGCGUUUCUUUGUUUGAUACGUGUUUGUUUCUCUUGGACCAGGUAUUCAACAACCGGAAUGUAAGGGAGAAACAGUUGAUUUGUUGGUGAGGAUUGGUUUGUUGAAGUCGGUAAGCGGAGUGUCUGGUCUGACUGAAGAAGCUCUGCCUGAGACUCUCAAGCUUAACUGUUCUCGGCUGAGGGCUGUUCAGGCCCAAAUUCAGAAAAUUAUUGUUACUUCCGUAAGGUAACUCAGUGCGCGCGCUCUCGGAUUUACUUCCUAUAUGAUUGAAGUUUCAGUUGUCUUUGCCUUGACCUUGAGUGACUAUAUCAUAGCUUUCUAAUCCUUGAUGAAUUUAUGCAAACGCAGCGUUCUUAUUUGCCGGCAAACCCUUCUAAGUGAGAGGAUAGUAACCAGCCCCACAGACAUGGAACGCGUAUUAUCAAAAUGCACCGAGCGACUUUUGGGGACCCUGGGCAGUGCCGAAGAUGCAGGCAUGGAGGAAAUUGUUGAAUCAAUUAGUGACUUCUCGAUCGACGGCAAUGAAGUUGCAGACUGCGAGAAGCUUCGAUCGAGGAAGGCGGUUAUCACGAGCAUGUUGGGAAAGAGCUUGCAAGCUGAGGAUCCCGUGUUUAAAAGGGUUUCUUCUGCUGUUUAUACGGCUGCAAGGGGAGUGGUUCUUGGCGGGAGCGGACCCCUAGGAAGAAAGUUAGCAGAAACAGCGCUCCGGCAAGUUGGAGCUGUGGCGCUGACAGAAAGCGUGGUGGAAGCUGCGGAGGUUUUAGUGGUGGCAGCCACCGUAUCAGUUAGUGUUCAUGGACCUUGGUAUGUACAUUUGACUGAGAACAUGUGAAGGGGUUGUGUUUGUUUGAAGAUAGUAACGACGUCGUACAGAAUAAAUAAGAAAUACACGUGUAUGUAUAUAGUGUGUGUGGAUUGUACGUAGCUGUGUAGAUGUAAGGUACGGAUUUUUAUUAAUUUUUUUGAUUGAGUGUCUGAAUUGUUGAUAUUAAUCAUUCGUUCUUGAUUUUAUUAAUUCUUUCACUUAAUAAGUAAGAGGUUGCACUUGGUGCGAUGACAAGUGCCUUCGCCCAUGAGCGGUAGGUCUUGGGUUCGAGACUUGGGAGCAGCUUCUCCAUAAAUGGGGGUAAGGCUAACCGACAUUCACCUCUCCCAGACUCUGCGUAAAGCGGGAGCCUUGUGCACUGGGUACGAUCUUUUUCACUUAAUAAGUAAAUUUUACCGUUGUGGUACAAGUUGCUCGAAAUUGUUACUCGCAAUCCUAUUACAUGAUUGACGUUCAAUUGUAUCAGUUUUUUCAAAGACCGGCUAGAUUUUUAGACAAUCGGUGAUCCGUCGGUCAUUGAAAAAGUUUUUAGAAUUGAGUGGCAAUCAUGUAAUAAUUUCGUGAGUAACACAACACAUCUGAGAUGCAACGCAAUGUAGAGACCACGAGCUUGUUUGGAUGUCCUUUUAAACUGACUAAAAGUGUUUUUGGUGAAAAUAUUUUUAAAAACAAUCAUUAGUAAAAAUGUUAGUAAAUCUUGAAAAAACAUUUUCUUCAAAGAAGCACAUAACUAGUGCUUCUUGUGAAAAGCACUUAAAGUGCCUUUGGAACCUAAAAGCAUUUUCUUUAAAAGCGCUUUCAAUCCUUUUAAAAGCACAUGCUACAUGACUACAAGGCACUCUUGUCAAACUAGAUCAACAUUUCAACUUUACGUAAAAGAAUAGACCAAUCAAUAUGAUACAGACCAAAUUAAUUAAGAGAAAAACAAAUCAUCUAAACAACGGGGGGAAAACAGUUGCGUUUAAGCCUCAUCAGCCUUCAAGAACCACAGCGAAAAAUGUCAUCUUUAAAGGGAGGAUGCUCGUAUCCAACUUCUUAAACUCCAACUUUCACCAGAUUCACAUUAACGAAAGCAAAACACCUGUUGGAACACCGAUAAGAGUCGUUGUUAGUAUAUGUGUUCAGAACUUUGAAGAGCUAAUCCUAGGUCAAAACAAUGGAGUUCGUACUAUACACACUUCGAAUGGUGAACAGUUCGUGCGUAAUUACAAAUCAAUAUCUAUACGUAAUAGCUGACCAGCAUGGAUGAUGCUAUACAAAAGUAAAACAGCUAGUCAAACUGAACAGUACAACAACAAAGCUUUUUUCCACUAAGUGGGGUCGGCUAUAUGAAUCCUAGAACGCCAUUGCGCUCAAUUCUAUGUCAAGUCUUCCGUUAGAUCCAAGUACUCUAAGUCUUUUCUUAGAGUCUCUUCCAAAGUCCUUCUAGGUCGGUCUUCCUCUACCCCUUCGGCCCUAAACCUCUGUCCCGUAAUUGUCAGACUGAACAGUAACGACCAAACUUUGCCAUAAAAAACAUCUUCACGUAUAUUCAACCUUUCCUUGUGCAGAAUGGCUGACCAUAUAAUUUGACGGGACACUAUCACCAAUGUAGACAACUCCAAUGGAACUAACAUUUGGGAUUGUUUUGUCAUCAUAUGUAAGUGUUAGUUGAACUUGAUGUAAAUACUGGUUUACGCCAAAGCGGAUUUCGAAAGAUAAAAACUACGGUGAACUAGAAAUCCUAUACCUCAUCCCCAACAUUCAUACCAAAAUCGAUAUUGCACGAUAUCUUAUUCUCAAUCAAAUAUGGUCCACCUAAAACACAGAUUCUGAAAGGGUUUAUAGACCAAAAAGAUUGAACUUCACAAUAUAGCAAUAUCUUAACAAUAUUGUUAAGAUUUUCGUUCAAGUGACAAACGAAUAUGAUAAAUGCUUCUAGUAUGACCAAUGAAAGUUCAAAGUUUUUAACCGGGGGACACGUUUCAAAAACAAAAUUGCAAUGAACGUUCGAAGUUCAGGGGAAAAGAAAUAGCUCGAAACAUUUUUAUGCUGUGGAACCAACAUUUUUAAGUUUUAAAACAGCACAGAAAUUUGAAAGGUUGAUCACAAAUCACAGCAAGAGUGAAGGAGUAUAUAACAGGGCACCAGAAAGAAGCAAGCCUUAAUCAUGAACAGCUUUAAACACUACUCUAACUUUAGUUUUCGAUUUACACUUAAAUUGGGUUCCAAGAAGUAUGGGAUUCAGCAACUACUCUACACUUAAACAACUCAUAAGCUUAAAACAUAUGCAAGUCAAUGCAAAAGUAACUGAACAGAGAUAUCAGGUGGUUCUGGAUGGCACAAUAUUAAAUGUUGAACAGUUGUAUCUGUGAAUAUCGAGCUUUAAAGAUGAGCAUCGAAGUGAUAUGAGACAUACCAUCAGACAGGCACCCCUCAGGUGUCGCUUAUCUGUACCAGAACCUUAUUCUUCUUGCCUGCAGAUAAAAGCAGAAGUUUCCCGUCCACAAUGUCUUCAGGUUCAAUUCUCUUAUUUUCACUAUCAACUUUGGAGUUGUUCAAGUAAAGUCCCCCUUGCUUCAACAGACGCCGGGCAGCAGAUUUGCUGUCAAGCAAACCAGAUGAAACUGAGAGAUCAAGAAUAGAGAGAUCAAGGACCUGAUGAUACAGGAAUGAGCAUGAGGGGACAUCCUCAGAAAUGGCUUUAAUGGUGUUCCAGUCCAAUUUAGUAUCAGCACCAGGCCUCAUUGCUUCAGUUGCCUUGAGGGCCUCGUCCAGACCAUCUUGACCAUGCACAAAACGAGUGACCUCCUCAGCAAGCCUGCGCUGAGCUGUGUUGGGCAAGUAUCCAGGUCUCUCCAUCUCGCUCUCUAACUGUUUGAUGUCAUCCAUGUCCAGGAAAGUGAGAAUCUUGAGAAACCUGACCACAUCAACAUCGGGAACAGAGAACAAAUACUGAUACAACUUAUAGGGAGACAACAUGGAUGGCGAAAGCCAUAUGGCACCAUCUUCGGACUUGCCAAAUUUGGUUCCAUCACUCUUCAGUAGAAGAGGAAAUGUCAAGCCAUAAGCAGCAGCAUCCACACGAAGAAUCUUGCGUAUGAGUUCAGUCCCUGCAGUUAUAUUCCCCCAUUGAUCGCUACCUCCAAUCUGGACAUUAACACCUUCAUUGCGGAAGAGGUGGAGGAAAUCAUAUCCCUGCAAUAACUGGUAAGUGAACUCAGUAUAGCUCAUUCCUUGUUCUGACUCCAACCUCUUCUUCACACUCUCCUUUGCUAUCAUGCUCCCCACUCUUGCAUACCGACCCACAUCUUUGAGAAACUCUAACAACCGAACCUCUUUCCACCAAUCAUAAUUAUUCAAGAUGGAAAUCCCACCCAGAAUUCUCGUAAUCGUAUUGGUUACUCCUGUGGUGUUUCGGGACAGAGUAUCAAGGUCGAGCUCGGUCUCUCCAAGCUCUUGCCGGAAGGGUCUCCAACACGAGCGGUGGCACCACCGAUCAAAGCAACGGGGUGAUGCCCACAUCUUUGGAACCAUGAGAGGACAACAAUUCCAAUAAGGUUUCCCAAGUGCAAGGAUUCGGCAGUUGGGUCAAACCCACAAUAGACUUUGAGAGGAGGGAGAUUGGGGUCAGAACAGGAUUGCCUUAAAUGCUCACUGGUGAUGGAUUCAAGCAACCCUCUCUCUUCAAGAAUUUCAACCACAUUUGGACGCCCGGACAAGGACUGAAAACACUUGAUGGUAGAGAGAAUGACUGGAUUCCUCAACUUAUUUCUGCGAACGGUGGGUAACCUAGACACAGUACUAAGAGGGGGAAAGAAGAAUGGGAGACUACGGUAGUAAUGGGAGUAGAGAAAGGCCCUUGAGGUGGUGGCAGCAGCCAUUAUUAAAUUCCUGCAAGAAAAAGAGAGAUUUUCAGAACCGGUAACACAUUUUCUUAAUUUCUUCUAUUGUCAUACUCAAGAGUAAUCCGCUAAUUUCCUCUUUGCACUUCGGUCACUUCAAUGAAGAAUGAUACGCCAGAAAUAAUGAUGUCGAUGCCACUACUUCCAGUGGAAGUGAAACAAGAGCUAGCAAGAAGCCAGGAAAACCCACCUCUCAGAACCUUCAAACUUGAGCACACUCUCUCCAAAAAAUGAUUCUUCGGCACUCAGCCAUCUAUCUUAGUGAAAAGAUUCUGUCAAAAUUCUGCCAGCUUCUCCUUUGUUAUAUGACCAAAAGGCCGAAAUCUAAAACAAAACGAGUGGAUUUCAGAAUCAAGUAAAAGUCUAUAUAAGCUAUAUUCAAAAGCCAAAACUGAGACUAAGCCAAAACAGAAGCAGGGCAUCAGCUACAAACCAGUGGCAGCUCUAGAAAUUUUUCUCCGCCGGUACAUAAUUUAUACUGUUUCUAUAAGAACAAGAAUGUCCAUGAUAAGUACACAAUACGUUGGGCCAUAGAAUACGGGUUGAAGCGAUAUACGAUUACAAUUAAACUAAGUAAUCUUAUUGUACGUAAGGAUGUCGAUUCAUUUUUCAUGUACGAAAGUUGAUAUACUCUCUUCUUUUUUCGUACACACUAGUUGUUCUGUAAAUUAACUAGACUAAUUUUUUGAUGAAGUUUCUUUUAAGGAAGGCUUCGGCGUGCGCAGCACACGUACAGACGCCAUUGAGGCAUUUUUAUCGAACAGUUGGAGGGCAAUGUUUAAGGCAGACCCAAAACCUUUAAGGGGCCAACUCCAGCCUCCCAUCAAGAAAAACACUAAAUUCCUAACUUGCUCAAAUCCCUAAAUCCCUAAUUUAAAGAAAUCAAAUCAGAAAUGAAAUUAUAAAUGAAGAGGGAAAAGAAGAAGAAGAAGAAGAAGAAGAAGAGUAGUACAAUUUGCAGAGGCUGGGGCAAGAGUGUAAUUAAAAGAAGAAGAAGAAGAAGAAGAAGGAAGAACUCACAUGAAAUGGAGGUACAGGCGGCAGCAAUGGCUGCCUGAUAGAGAGGAGCAGUCUCAGGAAGGGUGGAGGAGUGGCAUUGGCUGGUGUGGCUGCUGCACUUCACACUAUCGGGUUUUGGGACAAGAUUGAGCUUUCUGCUAAGGUUUAAUCAUGACCGUUCAUUUUAAAAGAUGGCUGAGGUUUCCAUCAUCAUCGCAUAAUUUCAUGGCAAACGAGGCUCACUUUCUCUCCACCUCUCUCUCCUUCCUCUCCUUCAACAAGGCAAGCUCUCCCCACCCUCUUCGCUGCUUUUCCAAUUUACUGUUUGGUUGCCGAGAAAAAAAGGCAGAAUGUUAGACCAAUAGAUCAAUCAAUCAACGUCAGAAUUCUUUAGUCUUCUGCUUUUCCAGUUUACCAUCAAUUUAUUUAUUUAUUUGAAGAAUUGCAUAUCCAAUUACGUUUUCAAAAUCUUUUGCAUUUUCAAUCACUGCUGCUGUGUUGCCAUGGCUGUUGCAUUUCUGGGUUUAACUUAUAAUUUUAAUUGUUUGGCGUUAAAUCGUUACCAGGCUGUGCUGCCAUCAAAAGGUUUGAGCUUUUUGGAGAAUUCGAGAUUCAACCGAAGCAGGCAAACGAGAACUUCAAUGGAAAUGCAGGGAAAUGGAGUUGUUUGGAUUAAUAUUUGAACAUUGGGCUGUAAAUGUGUGGAAGUCUAUAAAUACCAAUUAAGGGGAGGGUUGACCGAUGCCCAAGCAUCAAGCCUAGAGACGAAUUGACGCAUUUCCAUUAAUGUAUAGGCCAUGAGCCUAUGAUUUAAAUAUCAAGUGAUGGGAACUGACUCACAAUUAGCCAAAAAAUAUUUUUCAAUGGCAAUACAAGUAGAAACUUGAUAACUCAUUACUCUCCAAGUGCUUUCGAACAAGGGCGAAAUCAUUGCAGUCAGGCUAAUCGGCCUAUAAAAGAAGGAAGAGGCCCCAGAGACAAGGACACUCAACCAAUUAAACAAACAUACAAACUCUACUCUCAAGCUAUAUUUGCAUCCAAAAGUUGUAAUCAGCCUAGAUCUCGAUCAUUUUCAGGAUAUCUUCCACACAAAAGCUAUCUCUUGUCUAGUUUAAAACUAUGCUAUCACUUUUAGUGGCGUAGUAUUGAUUCUCUUGUGUAAACUGGUUUAUCAUCCAUAAUUUUUUAGCAUAAAAACUUCUGUAAACUCAAAGAGAAGUGAUUGCAGGAAGUUCAACCUUGCCCUACAAGGUGAAAUCUUGCUUAAAGUUCUUUGUGUGUGUUCUAAGAUAAUAGAUCUAUUGCUUAAUGUAUUCUCCAAUAUGUAUUCAUGUCAUAUCUAUAUGUUUUUCUACUUUAAAAGUCACAUUUGCAUCUGGAUCUGGUCAACUUAAUGGAUAUGCUUUCAUUUAAAACCAAUCAAGAACCAAACAAAUGGCUCAAGGGAUCUAAACUCCCCUCAUUCGAAUAUACAAGACUAUAAACUGAAAGUCCUUGGUCACAAGGCAAGAAAAAGAACUUAAUGUGGACUUAACUCAUCCACGACAAUCCUUUGAUAACAAGAAAUCCGAGUAACUUAGGAUGCAAGUAAUCUACUAAACACAAUCUUGUUCUACAUCUGCUAUACUGAGAUAGCAGUGACACGCCUAGCACUUAGUUAAUUUUGAUUACGAGCCUCAAGGCCUACACCUAAGGCCCGACAAAGACACCUCAAAACUAACUAUGUUAUCUUCUUGCAACACAUCAGCAAGUAAGAGCCCGACUACACCUCCAAAGUGCCAAUGCCUUAGGAAGCUGUUGAAGAAAUCUUCACCCGAACAGGAGUUCCAAUGACAAGUGACCACUCUGCAGUUAAGAAUCCACAUGUACUGACUGUUGCUGGCUUUGAUUCGGGUGCCGGUGCUGGAAUCCAAGCUGACCUUAUGGCUUGUGCUGCUCGUGGAGUGUACUGCUCUGCUGUCAUAACUGCUGUUACUGCACAAAACACUGUUGGGGUUCAGGUGGUUGUUUGAUGUUGCAUUCCGUGGCCUAUGCUCUGUUUGGUUGUUGAGAAAGCAUAACACAAGAUAGAAAGAAAAAAAACAUUUAUAGUGGUGACUGUUAUCUUUCUUUUUCUUUGAUGGAUAGGGUGUAAACAUUGUGCCCGAGGAGUUUGUUGCCGAGCAGAUGAAGUCUGUGGUAUCUGAUAUGGAUGUUGAUGUGGUAAGUCAAUGUUUGGAAAUGCUUUAGUUUCCACCUUCAACUGGUUUUACAAGCUGGUCUGUUUUUACGACUCUUGUCCAAAAUACUUCGGUAUUUUGGUACAAUGACAUAUGUUCGACUGUUUGAUUUUAGCAAGUUAGGAAUUUAGUCAACCAUUAUGGUACAAUGACGUAUGUUCGACCAUCAUCAUGAGCUUAUAGAAUUGAUUGAUAAUAAAUUCUGCAUCAACAGCUUCAGGAGUAUCCUAUUCGAGGUAUGCAGUCCUAUUAAAAAUCAAUGUAUUAAAAGCGUGAGGCGUCCGAGGGAUAGCCCAGCCUAGACAUGAGGCGUGAGGCGAAGCCUCACGGGACCUAAAUUUUUUAAUAUAUACAAUUAGCGUACACAUAUAUUACAUUAAAAAAAAAAGAAGAUUAUUAAUCAAUAAUCACCCUAAGCACAUACAUAUAUUAUAAAUACAUAUACACACACAUAUAUAUAUAUAUACAUAUAUUAUAUUAUAUUAUAUAUAUAAAUAAAGGAUGAAAAGCAUAAUGAGCACACCUAUAACAAUGCACACAGACAGCACACACAUUCAUUAUAUAAAAAAAAAAAACAGAAAAAAAAGGCAGAGAGAUGAUAGUGUAAGGAAGAGGUAUGAGGUAGUUAAAACCCUACCCAAAAUUUGGGUUUGGGAGUUUAAAAAAAAAAAUCCCCUUGGGCACGCCUAGGUGGCUCUGGCGGCGCUUUCUGCCCACUCCCUCAAAACAGAGGCGGCAACCCUCAAGCCCAGCCUCACAUGGCGCCUAGGCGCGCCCUGAGGCGAACCUUUUAAAACAUUGUUUAAAAUUGAACAUUUUUUUAUCUAAUGUUAAUAAAGUAGCAUUUUUAAUGAGUUUGAUAAUAUCAUUGAAGGCAGCUUUAGUGGUUGACCCUGUUAUGGUGUCUACAAGUGGAGAAGUAUUGGCUGGUCCUUCAACUCUUCUUGGGUUUAGGUAUGCUAAUCCAUUGUACAUAAGAUUGAGUAAAUUCAUAGUCCCACCUUCUGGUUUUUUAUCGCUUUUUGAAAACCUCUUUAGGAUGUUGAAACCAUCUAUUGAAUGCAAAAUGUGCAUUCAGAUCUGCUUGGCAGAAUGUUGGACAUGUUUUGAAUAAAGCAGAAUGUUGCAUUAGUACUAAAUUGGAAUGCAUUGUGAGUACUGUUGAAAUCAUAAGAGAAGGCACUUCACUUCACAAAUGUGACUGGUUUUUGUUUGUUCUCACAAAACAUUCUUCCAUUACCUAAGACUUUACUAGGAAUAGUUAAUCAUUUCACCUGGAUAAUCAACUAAAACGCGAAGGUGUUUGUAGUUUUUAACUAAAACGCGAAGGAGUACCCUUGAACUUGUAUUCAGGAAUUUGUACGAAAUGGUCAUGGUCAUUUCUAUUUGGUCAUUUCUUCUUGGUUGCGUUGGUUCAAUGGCUGUACUACAGUCUCCAUCUUUGAUCCUUUUGACCUCACUGUUGAAUAAGUUGGGGGAUAAUGUAAAAUUGUGAUCGUGUUUGAAAUUAUCUGAUUGAUGGGGCAGUUGGGCUAUCAUAUGGUAUUGUUUGGUUUAGAGGGUUUGGCCAGGGUAUUUACUGUGUUUUUAGGCAUAUGCUUUUGGGCAAUGGUGUAUUAGGAGUUAGGACCCCCAAACUCAUCUAUUUUCUCAGUAGAUGGAUUUCUUUGUUUUUGGCACGUUUCUUGGAAACAAGAUUGCGUGAUCGUGUAAAUGUUGUGGGGAUUAGUAAUUUGACGGGUAUUAGUAAUCUGUGAAUGUUGUGUGGAUGUAUUAGUCUUUGGUUUCCAAAGAACAGUCUCCCAAGCUCUCAACUUAUUACAGCAAGUACCCUUUGACAUAUUUGGCAAGGUUUAUAGCUCUGUGCCAUCCUCAGUAUGUUGUCACCAGUGUACAACAAAGAUGAGGAGACAAUGACCGUUCUAGGGGUGUGAAGCCCAAUAGCACAAUGUCUCUCAUUGAGGUUAGGAAGAGUUGCCCAAUAGACAAUGUCUCUCAUUCAAGCUACCAGUUACAGGUUUUUUUGAACAUUUCCUUCUUCUCCCGUAGAAUUUUGUAGUUUUCUUUUGCUUAUUUCACUUGGUUUCGCUACUUUUCACAGAAUUAAUGCAGUGUGAUAGUUGGAAAUUUAUGAAAUAAAAACUAAGUUUCUUUGUGUUGGAACUGUAGUUUUAUAAAACAGUGUCAUUGCUUUUCAGAAAUGUUCUUGUCAAAGGCGGAGACCUUCCUGAUUCAUUGGAUGCCGUUGAUGUCUUCUUUGAUGGUAAGCUUUGGUCUUCUGGAGCCUUCACACCGAUGAUAAUACUUUUCCUUCAUCCACUUGAUGCACGAGUGAAGUUCUGGAAAACUUAUUUCUUUAGGAUUGAUAUUGCAGGUGAACACUUACAUGAGUUGCGUUCAUCACACAUAAAAACUCGUAAUACUCAUGGAACUGGUUGCACUUUGGCAUCAUGUAUUGCAGCUGAGCUGGCAAAGGGUUCUUCAAUGCUUGAGGCUGUUAAGGUAAAUACAUAUGUGCUUCUUAUACAUCAUAUGCUGCAGGAAGAGUAGAUAAAAUAGCCUGGCUUUUUUCAGAUGAGCACGUAUCCUGAAGUAGUCACACUCGAGAAUAACAGAGGAUAGUCAUGGGUUUGUGUGAUUCCAAAUAGCAGGGAUAACUUUUGUCACAUAUGUGAAAUUCCACUUUCACUCACACCCGCACCAACAAGAACACACAAAAGACUGACAUUCACAAAUGCAAUUGAAGUGCCCAAAUCUAAUAUCUUUUUUAUUUAAUUUUGGUAUGCAGCUAAGUUCUUUGUUGAGACUGCCUUGGAUUAUAGCAAAGACAUUUUCAUUGGAAAUGGUCCCCGAGGCCCUUUCGAUCACCUAACGAGGCUCAAGAGUAACAUUCACAAUUCUGGUAGACAAGUCAGAUUCAAUCCAAGCGAUCUAUUCUUGUAUGCUGUUAGAGAUUCGCGUAUGAACAGAUACAAUUGUCAAAUUGAGGCUUUAUGCUCAUCUAAUGCUCAUCAUAAUUCUUAUAUACUUUAGGCUUUAUGUCUCUCUGAUAACUUUAAUACUAGUGAUUUGGUUCUUCCAUUUGUAUGUAUUAGUGCCUUGAUAACUAAUCCUAGAGACGCCUUUAGGUUAAUGUUCAUUCUUCAUGUAUUUUAGAUGAUCAUUUCCUUUCUUGUGGAGUUCUAUUUGUGCUUAUUUCAGUUUUUUUCCGAGAUUAAUGAUCAUGAGUUAAAUCCCCAGGGCCUCCUAUGUUUCUGAAUGUCAUGCAGUUCUUUUGUAGAGUCAGAUGCUGAUUUCAGUUUACGAAUAUGGCAAACUUCAUAAGUUAUUGUUUCACAUUGGGAUUGCCUGCUCGGAAUUGUUAUCAACUGUCACCCACGUUUCUCAUGUAUGUUGUUAUUAUGUAUUCUUUUAGCCCAAUCAAUACACCCACCCUUAAAAGUUUCAUGGCCUAGAUUAUACUCUGCCCUUCUUGAGCAUUUGUUUGUAUGCAUUUCCAUAACUAUGCUUAUGAUACGUAAUAAAUUUCUGCUUCUAGUAGUUUUCCGUUUGUUCAUCUUGACAAUACUUUAACUUUGCUUUGCAGGGAAAAGGAUAUUGAAACCGGGGAUUUCCUGGAAGCAGCCAAGUCAUGUCUCCAAAUUUGCCGUGCCUAUGGAGUUCCAUUACUAAUAAACGAUCGCAUUGAUGUUGCACUUGCUUCUGACGCUGAUGGUGUGCAUAUUGGCCAGUCCGACAUGCCCGCCCAUGUUGCACGUUCUCUCCUUGCACCCGGAAAGAUAAUUGCUGUGUCUUGCAAGAUCCCGGAGCAAGCACAGCAAGCAUGGCUUGGUGGUGCUGAUUACAUUGGCUGUGGUGGUGUAUAGCCAACUAAUACAAAGAAAAACAAUCUCACCGUAGGCUUGGACGGGCUGAAAACUGUUUGUUUGGCUUCCAAAUUACCUGUGGUUGCGAUUGGUGGGAUCAAUAUUUCAAAUGAACGUCCAGUGAUGGAAAUGGGUUUACCGAACCUGAAAGGUGUUGCAGUUGUGUCUGCUCUAUUUGACAGGCACUGGCGGAUCCAUUAAGGGGCAUGAGGGGUCAGCUGACCCCCGAAUUUCGAUGAACCUCCAUAGAUGCCUUAGGUGCUGACCCUCCGAACUUCGGUGAAUGUCCAUGGAUACCUUGAGUGUUGCCCUUUUGAAGAUUAAAGUUGGCUUCAUACUUGCCCUCCAACCGACUUCAGACCUACCAAAACCUGAUAAAUGUCCGUGAAUAUCUUGGGUGUUGCCCCUUGCAUACAUUAACAUGUCUGUAGUAUGCAUUUUCAAAUGACUUCAGGCCUACAAAGACUCGAUGAAAUGGUAAUAUGCAUGCUAUUUCUGGUAUAAAAAAAUUUGCGCGCUACGCGCUAUUCUUACUGACCCCUUAAUAUUAUUUCCUGGAUCCGCCACUGUUGACAGGGAAUGUGUUUUGACAGAGACUAGGAAGUUGCAUGCAGUGCUAACGGAGGCGGCAGCAGCAGUUAACUGAAACGUACGGGAACAAGGCCUUGAUUCAAUUUCUGUCUGAAGUUUAGCAUCGGUACCAGAAUAAUGAUGACAUUCAUUUGUUCUUGUUAGUGGUUAGAAAGGCGAAUGUACUCGCUGUUUUUGGGUUCAAUGCACCGAAAAAAGUUGAUCUUGCUCAGAAGGUCUGAGUAUGGACGUUAGUCUGCGUAGUAUGGGACGUUUGGUUGCUCGGUAUGGACGUUUGUUUUUUCAAAUAUUUGGCAGAGAGGUUCUGUAUAAUGUAAUGUAGUGCAGCAGUGUGAUGUACUGCUCUAAAUUAAUUCAUGAUAUGUUACCAUGUGCUUGGCCUCUGACUUGAGAUGAGAUGGUUGAUCGAAUAUUUCAAUUAUUGACAACAUUAUUGUAAUUUUUUUAUUUUUUAUUUUUUUUUAGUAGAUGUGAAGAAUAUAAAAGUAAGCCUCUUUGCUGUAUUCUGAACCUGAAUUGUAGUCGGGGUGCAACUUGAGUUGGGUCAACCGGAGUUCGUUUAUCCCAACAUGGUUUUAAACUAUAAAUGGAAACCCACCCAAACUCAACCCGGUCCCAACCUGAUCGUUUAUUGGGAUGUGUUAGGUUGGGUGGAUGCCUUUCUUGUCCAUGUCAACCCAAAUUCAACCCGAUUUUAGUCUGCAUUCGCUCAUGCACAUAUUAGUCAUCCCAAUUCAUACAUAUAUAUAUAUAUAUAUAUAUAUAUAUAUAUACAGAGAGCUUAAGGGGAGGGAUUCCCAUUUUUUGAAAAAAAUGGGGAUUAGGUAUGGGGCCCACUUCACAUCAAAUUUCAACGAUCCGAACCGUCUAUUUUGUUAGUCUCGAUUCAUAGAUCAUCCUUGCAAAAAUUCAAUUCAAUCCGAAACCAUUUGCCUAUCUAAUUAUCACUAUCAAAUUUCAUAUUUUCUUAUAUAACAAAGUAUUCGUUCAUUUCCUUGAACCCAAUUAGAUGUCUUAAACAUUUCCAAUUUAGCUAAUAUUUUGCAAGGAUGAUCUAUGAAUCGAGACUAACAAAAUAGACGGUUCGGAUCGUUAAAAUUAGAUGUGAAGUGAGCCCCACACCUAAUUCCCAUUUUUUUCAAAAAAUAGGGAUCCCUCCCCUUAAGCUCUCUGUAUAUAUAUAUAUAUAUAUAUAUAUAUACAUAUAUAUAUAUAUAUAAAGCUAGAGAGAGAGAUUUCAAGGGAGAGAAUCCUACUCCAGUAAAGUUACGACAUGGGGUAAGAAAAGCAUUUUAUCCUAACAGAGAACUAGAAAAUGAAGACAAGCAAUCAGAACAAAGCAAUCCAAAUAAAGAGAUAGGGGAGGUACCAAAGUAUACAACAAAAGUAUUAUCAACUUAUGUUCUAAUUGAAUAAACCUCCUUACAUGCCACACCCCAUUAGGGGGCAAAGUUUCCUAUGUGAGAAUCGCUUGUUCUCGGAUAAAACGAUACAACACAGCCCGUUUAGGCGUUUACACCCUUCCCCCUCCGAGCCUCGAGCCUCCCGCCUCCCUUCUCCCUUAAAUUCAAAGACAAAGACAAACAACUCAAACCCACAAGCUUUAACUACAAAUUCUACUAGUGAUACAUCCAGUCAGUCUCAGGACAAACUAUUGUCCUCAGCACCACACUAUAAUUUACACAAGCUUGUUUAUUGAAACACCAUCACCUACGCAAAACAGAAAAACUGACUGUUUUUACAAACAUGACAACGUUUUUUACGACAAGGACAAGGAGAACCCGCACUUUCGGGUUCUCCGAUAUUAAGGAAGAAACUGGUCCUCAGCUGACGCUCACUUCUCCACUUGCAUGUACUUCUUUGACUGUCUUAACAUACUCAUCUUCUUCUUCUUCCUCCUCGCCUUCUACUUCUUCCUUUGUAUCACCAUCUUCUUCUCCCCAGCUAAAGCCUCCAAUUGAUCGGGAAACUGGAGGAGGAAUUUUGGCUUCCUCCACUAUCUUCAUGAUGUCUUCAACAGUUUGGGGAGAAAAGGUUGGGUUUUCUUUUCUGUAGUAGAUGAUUUGAGCUGCUUCUGUAAGCUCUCUCGGCAAGUUCUUUAAAAACCAUGGGUGGUUCUUGAUAUCUUUAAUGGUGAUCCUCUGAAGCAAGAAUUGAAAGCCAGUUGAGCACACCAUGGAAGAGCAAGAAAACAGAAAACAAUGCACUCAGCUGAUAAGAUCCAACAUCAAAUUCAGUUGAGUUAUUUAUGUUCAACACUAGCACAAUGAUUCAAACUUUUAAAAUUCAUUUCUUUUCGUUUUAGGGGGCACUUUGGGUGACAAAAAAAGACCUAGACAGGAGCAAAUCAGAUGAGACUGAAGUAAACAAAAUAUACGAGGACUUAGAUGCAUACCUCCAUCCCCUCAUUCCGAAGGUCAAAACAUUAGUUUGUUGAUAAGACAACAAUUAAGCCAUUAUGGAUUCUUGAUUAUUCCAAAAACUAUCAAGGUAAACAUUGCAAGGGACACUUCAUUAUACGCCUAGUCUAGUAGCAUAUUCUGUGUCAGAAGCCUAUAUAUGCAAAUCUGAUGUUAUUCAGUCAUAACAGGACAACGAGCCAUUUGCCAUUCACCCACAAAGUUCAGCAACCUAAAGCUUUCUUUUUUAAGUAAUACAAAAUCAAAAAGUGCCCGGCAACAUAGUAUCAUACAUACCCUUGCUGGAUUUGCAACAAAGAUGCGAGAGAGGAGAUGCCUACACUCUUGAGACAUGUGAACAUGGUCUGGGAUCUUGUAAUGAACGCCCAUUAUUUUCUGCAUCAAAAGAAUGAAAGGAAACUACACAGUUAAAACGAAAAAACAUGAAUGAUUAACAUUCAGAGGCUGAAUAACUAGUCAAAUUACUUUCAUAGUUUUCCUGAAAUUCUUUGGAUCUUCUUGGUCUUCAAAUGGAUAAGCUCCCACCAGCAUAACAUAUAGGGUUACUCCACAGGACCACACAUCUGCCAACUGGAUGAACAGAAACCGAAAUCAGAUAAUUGAGGUAAAAGCUGUAUAAUAUAUUUUCUUGUUGAAAAUUUCUUCUUACAUGCCAGACACAAAAGAUUCAAUGAAAGAGUGUAUAACAUCAUUUCACUUCCUGCUCUCCCCAGGCAGGAGAACGGUUUACCUCCCUGAUUCCUAGUUGUCAUGUAAAUGAACAUUGCUAUUAUGGAAGCAAAAAAUUGAGCACAAAAAUUGAUGCUGCCACUCCAAGUUUCAACUCAUUUUCGCCAUCAUUAAAUGAUAUACCUACGCCUUCAACCACCUACUUGGCGCACAUAAAGAAAUCUUAUGACACAAUCCGGAAAAUUCCAUUCAUUGUAAUGAAUUGCUAUCAACUGGUCCUUAGAACAAUAUACCAGUAUCUUUAAAACUGUGGUGCAUCAGUUAUAGAAGACUGAAAAUGACAACAACGCGAAAGUUAGCUACCUUGCCAUCAUACUCUCUUCGAGAAAGAACCUCAGGAGCAAUAUAUGCUGGAGUUCCCACUGUUGAUUUAGGCCUUGAAUGCAGCAAGGAUGACUACACAAAUAAAGUUCAUCAGACUAUAGAACUUUUACAUUUACCUUGAAACAUCAAAGCCUCUAACAAGGGGCAAAUUUUCACAAAUUUUCAUUGCAGAAUUAAACCUUAGAAUAACCAAAAUCACAAAUUUUCAGGCGUGGAGCUGCGCUGCCAUCCAGCAAGGUAUUCUCCAGCUUCAAAUCUCGGUGGCAUAUUUGCUGCACAGCAAGACAAGGGGCAAAUGAGAAUCACAGGUUAAGGAAAAAAUCCAUUGGAGAUCAGGAGCAUUAACGACUCGUAUUAUCUUUACCAGAGAAUGACAGUAGCUAACUCCCGAGAUAAGCUGCUGAAAAAAAUAUCUAGCCUGCAAAACCAACAAAACUUAAGAUGACUUUGUUACUUAGAAACUUAACAAAUUAGCCAGACUGAACUACACACACUGGAGGGUUAUGCAAUCAUAAGUAUUGGCAUGCUGUAAGUAUAGCUAUCGUUUUCUUUAUCAUUUCCGGGAUUUUAUGAGGGUACAAGUACAACUGUUUUCAAAAUUUGGAGCUUCCCAUUAGUCAAGGUCAGUGAUCAAACCUCAUCUUCACUGAACCUUCCUGCAUUGCAGAUUCGCUCAAAGAGCUCUCCACCAGCCGCAUACUCCAUCACAAUACCAAGAUGUGUAGGAGUCAAAACUACCUGAAAUUCCAGAACAUCAUAUUAGCCCACUGAAACUGAUUAUAUUUUAUUUGGAUCCUUCACAGUGAAAACCAUAUCAACAAACACACACCUCCCUGAACCGAAUGAUGUUUGGAUGGCGAAGCGAUCUGUGGUUUAUGAUUUCCCUUGCCACAUUCUCAUCAAUCUGCAACCAAACAAUGAAACAUAUAGUUAACGUCAUACACAUAUACAUAUAAUCAUUUGAAACUAAUAAGAUAUUGUGUUUUUUUCAUGGAUUUUUUUUUUAGAAGAGUGUUUUUUUCAUGGAUUCAUAGAAUGAAAUGGAAAGAUUGUAGCUUUUUCAAGCACCGACUCCGGAAUUAAACAAAUGGGUUUUCCUACAUGAGGUUUAUAAUUCUAAAAGAAUUAAACUUCAAAGCAAAAAUCAAUGCAAAAACAAAAUAAGUAAACGGAGAAAUGAAAAAAGUGGGGAAAAGUAAGGACCUUGUGGCCGCGGUCGAUGUAUUUCAUGGCGACGAGCUCUUUGGUCUCUUUGUUCCUCAUAAGCCUGGCCACCCCAAAAUUCCCAGAUCCAAUAUCCUUGACAACCUCGUACUUUUCCAUUUUCUACGUUUGAUUUCUUCUAAUUUUGCACUUGGGGUUCUGUAAUGAAACUCAAAUUGAGCUGCACACCUCGGAAGCUUGAAACGAUCGAUUGAGCUUUCAAGUCUUGGGUCUCCAAGCGCACACAACACCCAGAAACACAGAGAACUAAAGCGAAUCGGAGAAAACCCAAAUCCUGGAACGAGAUCAGCGUUCUAGAGAGAGAAAGGGGUUGGGAAGGAAGGGGGGUACUGAAUUGUAUCACUUGCUGGAUUUGAUUUGGGGAAUGAAUUAGGUUGGGGUUGCAUGUGGUGAAGAUUGAAAGAAAGAAUGUUCUAUUUGGAGAGAGAGAGAGAGAGAGAGAGAGAGAGAGAGGGAGAGAUUUGAUUGGGUAUUGAGAGAGAUUGAGGAAUCGAAGAUGCAGAGAGUCUUAAAGGUUAAGCAAAAGGAAUCAAGCUUUAUAAUGGUGAGCUUUCUUAAUAUUUAUUUAUUUUUCAUUAUUUUAUUUUUCCAUUUUUGUUUGGAUCAGUCUCCAUUUUUUACUUGGGAUGACAAAGGGACGGUGUGAACCGGCGCCACAUGCAUCAGUCUUUUUCGUUGGAAAUGGGUCAUUUUCGGAUCAUUUAUUCCUAAUCAACCAAAUUAUGAAAUUCGUGUCGUUGAAAUUUGAUUCAACAGUUAAAGUUAUUAUAAUUUUUAAAGUGCGUCUCUAUUUGUAGUCAUUGAAUCAAAUUUCAAUAACACGAAUCAUUUGAUUUGGUAGAUUAUGAGGUUUUUCGUUUAUAAUUUAUUCCUCUGUAACUACAUCCACAACUUGUUAUUUUAAUUGAGAAUUCCUCAUUGUUGCAUCCGCAAAGAAUAUGAACAAUAUUUGGCUACUCAAAGAUAAGUAAGAAUUUUUAUUCAAAAUUUCUUAAAAUUAUUCGUUGUCAAUUUAUAGAACUUCAUAUUUAUAAUCAAAACAGUUCAAAUUAUAAAUCACUCUAUAAAUAUCGUCUCUACAAAAAAUCAAUUAAAAAGUCAUUAAACUGUUUGAAAACAAAUGAACGGUAUUGGUAAAAGUAUUACGAACCGUCUAUGUAUUUACUACAAUAGAUUGACUAAACGACCUUAAUUUAAAUUUAUUUUUGGCAUAGAUGAUCUUUACAGUGUUAUUCAUAAUAUGAAUAGUUAUGAUCAUAAGUAUAAAGCUCUGAGUUUAAAACACUAUGAACUUUGAGUAUGAGCUCUUACUCAUCUUUGAGUAGUCAAGUAUUAUUCAGAAAAAUAAUACCUCUAAACCCUCAUCCACCAACUCGCUUUUUUACGAAAAAAAGAAUUAGUAAUAUUUUUUUGCUGGUAUAUGAAGCAUAAAUUAAUCGACUAGUAUCAAAAAGUUAAUAAAAUAGUGAAUAAUUCUACAUAAUUAUAAUUGCAUAGUAACCUCUAAUUCGUUGAAUGUUCAUCAAUCCAUGUCUCAAUCUUUUAUAUUUAAAGCCAGAGCCCCAAUAUGGGGUCCGGCUUCUUCGACAAAAUGAUUAGGAUCAGAAUGCCCCUCAGCCAAAAAAAUCAAAAGCAGUUAAAAAGAAUGCAUAAAAUAAUCCAAGGGUAAUUUUGUAAAUUUAUUUUUAAAUAAUUUUGUCAUAGAACAAGUGGGCAAGCAAUUUGACAGAGAUAGUAGCGAUUAAGUAUGAACGGUCAUAUCAUCAAAAUAUACGAAUAAAACAUCUUAAGAGACGUGUUAUACCGGUUAUAUAUAAAUAUCUUUCGUACUCGGAUAAUAAUGCAAUUAAAUUAAUUAUCAAAUUAUUAUUUUUUUUAAUCUACACUAAGGGUGAUGGGGUAGGCUUAUUCUCGCAAUGGACUAGCAAUAAUAUGAUUCAAUCAGUUGUUUAUUAAAUAUUAUUUUUCUAUUUUUAAACAUGUUCAAAACAUCUUAAGAGAUGUGUAAUGCUGAUUAUAAAAAAAGUCGUUCGCAUGUGAAUAAUUAUGUGAUUAAAUUAGUUGUCAAAUGAUUUUUUUUUAUCUUUUAACAAACGAUAUUAUCUACACUAAAGGGGAGAAACUGGGCUUACCCUCACAAUGGGCUAGCAAUAAUGUGAUUUAAUUAAUUUUUUAUUAAAUAUUAUUUUAUCUAUUCUUAAUGUAAAUCCUAUAGAGACCGAUGUUAUUAUGUCAAUUCAAAUGUUUUAAUUUGUUUAUGAGGGAUUUUUUCUAGCAUGAUAUAAGAUUAUUCAUUUACUUCAAAUAUUUGACUUUUCUUUUGUCAAUUUACACUUGUAAAUAUAUUUAAAACGUGUAAAUCACGCGUAACAUGUCGUGAUUUAAAAAAAUAUUUUUUGCACGUGCAUGAAGGCUAGUACUUACACACGCGUGCAUGAAGACUAGUACUUAUUAAAAUAAAAGGUAAUACGAGACAUCACAACUUGCAAGGCCAAUGGAUAAGACUUGCAAACGUAAAUAUUCUCCACAAGAGCAAAAUAUAUGCAACUAAAAGGUUAACAUAAUUUUCUCAUGACAUUAAGGGCUUUUUUGACAAGUACUUUUAAACGACAAAGUGCUUUUAGAUAAAAUAUUUUUAAAAAAAUUCUUAGUAAAAAUACAAGCUAAUCAUUAAAAAACACUUGAGGUACUUUUUGCAAUGCGCACGUACUCUACAAUUAAAGGCACUUGCCAAACGAGCAGCAAAACACAAACUUUCCUCCACAAAAGAACCAAAGUUUUGCCAGGUCUAAAUAUCACCACAAAAAAAAAAAAAAAAAAACAACCAAUCUCGAGCACACAUCAGAGACUCCACAGUUAAGAGUGAAGCCGACUUCGAUGAGCACUCACAAUCCUUCCACUAGUACUAAAUGUGGGUUGCGUCCGAAGCAAGCAACUGCAGAUAGUGGAGUUUGUAAGACAUCUCUAGCAAGCAGUGUGCAGAGUUGAAUAUUUCAGGGAAAGGAUCCGUUCACACCUUAGACUUCCACCAAAGGAACAUAUAUUAUUUCUUGGAGAGACUCCUCAUUUGUGCAUCGUUCAGAAAUAUUUUUAAAAUAAUUGAAAGAGAUUUCGUAGAAAUCACUUAGUAAAAACGCAAGUGAAUUUUAGAAAAGCAUUAUUCUAGAAAGCACUUCAAGUGGUUUUGAAACCAAAAAAUAUUUUCUCUAUAAGUAUUUUUAGUAAUUUCAAAACCACUUCUAAGCGAGCCCUUAACAUGUAAAACAUACCUCCAUCCAACAUGAGUGCACUAGCAGGAAUCUUGUGUUGUGACUGGCAUUCCAGCUUGCAAUCUAUCAAAAGCAUCCGCAAGAACUUGAGAUAUCAGAUUUUGGUGAAGAAUACAAUCCGGAAGGAGGGGAACAUGCCAAUAUAAUUGUUUGGCUUUUUAAUUAAAAUGAUUUAUAAGAUUAGCAUAACUCCUCACUUUGGUCUCUGAUAUUGAAAAUCGAUACAAGUGGUCAUUGAGUGAGUUUGUCCACUGGAAAUCUUUUUGGUCAUUCCCUAAAAAAUAUGUCAAUAUUCUCACUAACACCCGUUGUAGAUUUUUCGGUUGCAUCCUCCCUAUAUCUGCCUUUGUACCCAAUAUGAGAUAACGAGAAUCAAAACCAUUGGAGUUUGGUGGCGGCGGAAGUGAUUGUGUUGUCUCUCUUGAAAACUCAAACUCACUCUCUUCUCUCUUUUAGGGAUGAGUAUCUCUCAUUUUAUUUUAUUUUUCACUUUUGAGAGAGAAUCCAUGCAGGAUGGGUGUACAUUUGAACCAAGGUGGUCUUGGGACUACUCAAAAUCCGGAAAAUAUAUUUGCGAAGAUCUUUUGAGGACCCCGAAUAUUUGAUACGAGUCUCUUUUGCAUCUAUCAAGUGUUUGAUGCAAUAAAAAAAAGGGUAAAUUGUGGUUUGACCCCCUGAAUUAUAUGAAAUAAGCCAAUUAACCAUUUUUCGUUAGAUUCCAUCCACUGUUAUGUCAAAUUCAAGGGGAAAUUAGUCUUUUAAUCAUCAAUUCUUACAUGUCAGUUAUAACCACCAAUAAAAUUAUGACAUGUGGAAACAUAGUAAUGUGAAAUGGCCCAUUAUGCAAAUGUUUGGUUUCUUUAUGUUUUUUAUUAUGCCAUAAGUUUUUGAAUUAUUCUGUGUCCAUGUGUCAUUAUUUUAUUAGUUGUUAUAACUAACAAGUAAGAAUUGAAGAUAAAAAGAUUAAUUUGCCCUUAAAUUUGACUGAAUAGUGAAUGGAAUCUAACGACAAAGGAUUAUUGGCUGAUUUUAAAUAAUUCAGAAUCAAAUUCAAUUGGAUAAUACUUUAGAGGGUCAAACCGCAGUUUAUCCAAAAAAAAAAAAACUAGUUUGGGUGUUGUGAAGCAACAAUGAUCCAUAACAUAAGCCCAAAAAAGAAGAAGAAAACGUGGUCUCAAAAGGACAAAAGAAAUAAAGAAAAAGCCCAACCAUUAAACCCAACCCAAAAGGCUAAAUUUGAAUAUAAUUUAAUUAAAAUCGCGAUCAACCAUUUGUCCCAUUUGUCAGAGAUAAAAAAAGAAAAUUUAAAUUAAAGAAAAAUGAAAGAUGCGUUCCGAUCCGAACUCGCAUAGUCGCAAUCUCUCUCUCUCUCUCUCUCUCUUGUGAAGACUUUUGAGAGUUGUUGAGUCGAGUCCGAGUGGCAUCAGCCUUCCCCUCCUCUGCCUCUGGGAGAGAUCAGAAUCAUCACAGCACAAAGAUUACACCACCUCCUCGCUGACCGUCCAGAUCCCACCCUCGCCGGCGAUCGCCAUGUUCUCCUCCGUCCGAUCUCUCUCCCUCUCCCUCCUCUUCGUCUUCUUCCUCCUUGCCCCCGCUUUCGCCGCCGAGGCAGAUCACAAGGUAAAAUUAUCCCCCCCCUGCCCCGCCCGCUUUCUCUCUCUUCAAUUGCGUUGCCCAAACCCUAACAUUUGCUCUCUCAGUAAAUCCCGGUAGAUCUCUAUGUUUAUCCUUUUAAACUUUGAAUUCCGAUUCAGAUCUGUAUUUUCCACGGCUUGUUAUCAUGUAACUGUGUAAGCAUGUGUAUGUGUUUGUUAGAGUUAGAUCUUAACUGGGUUUUGCUUGUUGGUCGGAUUGUUGCUGUUUUUGUCUUAUGGGUACCUACGAUAGGGCUUGUAGUGGUGAAUUGGGACUUGCAAUGGUGAUUUUACCAUAGGGUUUUGGUAUUAUGUUAAUGGGGUCCAGGGGCCUCAAGGAUAUCGAUGACGAAAUUUGUGUGAGCUGGGUUUUAUGCUUGGAUUUUACCGUAUAUUUAUGCAUAUAUGCUUCGUUUAGCAGAACAAAAGACAUCAAACUUAUCGAAAGUGCAGAUCUUGGAACUUGAAAACUACUUUGUACAGAUAGCUAAUAUCACUACGUAUCCAUAACACUGAAAUGACAUCUGAAUCGGAUCCACCACCACCAAAAACUGGUUGCAAGUCCAUCUGCCAUUGUAACACAAGAAGCUUGCCUUGCAUUAACAAAAACAUACUUUAUGAGUGCUAAUGUACUGUCCAUAUAUUCAUAAGUCAGGUACCCGUUCAAUGAACCCAUUGAUCCUCAACCUAGGUAAUUUCAAAGGACACUUAGUUUGAGGCAUCCUAAUGCUCUAAUGAAGCAUUUACAGGUGUGGCUGGCUGCCUUGAAUUAUAGAUGUAAAAGAUGAUAGCCUGAAGCCUUUUUCUAUAAUAGUCACAUGUCAACUAGAAUUUCACAUACACUGUCAUUCUGUCAUCAAUUUUUUUAAUCUAACAGCAAACCAUUUUGUUAGUUCUAAGUUCACACUUUCCUGCACUGCUAUGAUAAUAAUUGUAUUGGAUUGAUCAAUGCUUGAUCUAAUUCUAAAUUAUCUGUAAAUAUUCUAAUGCUCCCUUGCUUUCGUUUGCAGUAUCAAACAGAAGAAUCAGUUACUCUUUGGGUGAAUAAAGUUGGGCCCUACAAUAAUCCUCAAGAAACAUACAAUUACUACAGUCUUCCUUUCUGUCAUCAAUCUGAAAAUGCUGCUCACAAAUGGGGUGGCCUUGGUGAAGUCCUGGGUGGAAAUGAGUUGAUUGAUAGCCAGAUUGAAAUAAAAUUUCAAAGCAUGUGGACUUCCUUGCUCUGCGUUAAUUUUUGUUGCUGGAUUGAGGUAUUUGAUUGCAAAUUGAUUUGUUUCAUUUCUCUAUGCAGAAAAUGUGGACAGGGCCACCAUUUGCCAACUUGAACUUGACGAUCAAAAGGUUAAACAAUUCAAGGACGCAAUCGAGAAUAACUACUGGUUUGAAUUUUUCAUGGGUAUGUUUUCGAUAAAAUUAUUUAAUACGAUAUGUAUACAUGGUAUAAAUAUUGGUUUAGAUCAAAUUGAAGUAUGGUGUUUCUAGAUGCAUAUGAAGUUUCUGUUGGAAGUCCUGAGUUAACAUUCCAAAACACUUAUGGACUGUUGAUUUACACAGUUUGUACUAUUUUUGGUAUAUAGCAUGUAUUUUAUUUUCUCUGGGGAAGUCAGUGGCCUGUUGGGGGCUACAAGGCCUGCAAUUCAGCAUAGUUACUGGAGAAUGUUGUGGAAAGAAUGAAAGAUGAAUUGUACAUAUCUAGUGCAUCGGAGAGCGAUUCAGGAAGCAAAAGAUUAGGGCAGAGUUAUCGUUAAAUCAAUAUUAUGAACAUUUCUUGUGCUUAUGUUUGGACAACAGUAUAGCUGAUAAAGGUCGUACCCAGUGCACAAGGCUCACGCUUUACGCAGGGUCUGGGAGAGGUGAAUGUCGGCUAGCCUUACCCCCAUUUAUGGAGAGGCUGCUCCAAGUCUCGAACCCGAGACCUACCGCUCAUGGGCGAAGGCACUUGCCAUCGCACCAAGUGCGACCUCUGGACUACAGUAUAGCUGAUGCCAUAAAAUUAUUUACUUAGAUGUUUCCUUAGUCAUAAAAGUUAAUUAAGCAUCAUAUUGUGACUUACAUGGUUGUCUAUGCCUCAUGAGCUACUUUCUAAUUGUUGCCAAGGUCAAUAUUACUUUACAAGAAACUUGAUUUUUAACUACAAGAAUUUUGUGUUAAUUACAUUUUCAUGAACAGUAUAAUGUCAGUAUCGACUUAGGAAAUGCUUGAAAUUAUCUGAAAGUGGUUUUACUGUGUGUUAAUCUGGAUCUCUGUGGGGAUCUACUGCAAGGGUUUAUUUUCUCUAUGUUUUGUGGUCAAUUUGUUUUAUAUGGGGGCAUUCACUGAUCCUCAAUUUUGUCUCUUUAACAUAUUAUCUCCCCUGGACGUUGCUGUGCUGGAUACAUAUUCAGAUGAUCUCCCUUUAUGGGGUAUGCGGUAUACUCAUUCCUCCCAAUUUGAGCUCACGCUUGUAUUAUCCUCUUAUUAAAUUGGUCUUUGUCUUCUUAUGAUGUCCUAGGCUUUGUUGGUGAGUUGCAGCAGGACAAGAACAGUGGAAAUGGCAAGCAUGUCCUUUACACUCAUAAAAAUAUCAUUGUUAAAUACAAUAACGAUCAGGUUUGUGAUUCUCCAUAUCAGAUGUGGCUUUUAUAAUGGGCUUGAGGUUCUAUGAUUUUUAUUGUAGUUUAUAAAUUUGUAGAUCAUUCAUGUGAAUCUCACUCAAGAUAGUCCAAAGCCGUUGGAAGUAGGGAAGAAAUUGGAUCUAACAUACUCUGUCAAAUGGAUUGCAACCACUGUCACCUUUGCACGUCGAUUUGAUGUCUAUUUGGACUACCCCUUUUUUGAGCACCAAGUAAGAACUGACUGUUUAUUUGUUUACCUAUUUUUCUUUCUGGCAUUGUAGGCGUAUUAUCCUAAAUUCAGUAGAAUUAUGUCUUCAAGGUAUUUUAACAUUGGUUGCUUAAUGAUGCUAAUAUAUAUAUAUGUAUGUAUGUAUGUAUGUGUAUUUUAAUUUUUAAUGAGCUGUAUGUUCAUUUUGCAAUAUGCAGAUACAUUGGUUCUCGAUUUUCAAUUCAUUCAUGAUGGUUAUAUUCCUUACUGGUUUGGUCUCAAUGAUAUUGAUGCGGACUCUUAGGAACGACUAUGCAAAGUAUGCUCGGGAAGACGACGAUCUGGAGACUCUGGUAUGGUCUAAUGAUUUUCUUUAUAAUCAGAUGAUAUCCUUCUUUUAGAUGUUUUUGUUUUUUUUUCUUAUGCGGCAACAUAGAUAGAGAUAUAAUAGAUAAAAUCUUUGUGUGAUGACCCUUUUGAAAAUGUGCCUAUUGUAGGAAAGAGAUGUCAGUGAAGAGUCUGGCUGGAAACUUGUGCAUGGGGAUGUUUUUCGGCCUUCUCGGAAUUUGGUUAUUCUAUCAGCUCUUGUUGGCACAGGCGCUCAGCUAGCAUUGCUUGUUCUCCUCGUCAUCUUACUGGCAAUUGUUGGGAUGUUGUAUGUUGGGUAUGUUGACUACUUGCUCAAAAGUACUUGGGAUGCUAUUUUGGGUUAUUGUUUUCGACUUUCCUAGGUUUAAUUAUUUUACUAUUUUCAAAACGUUUAUAUUUGAAUCAUAAACAUGUAAGUUGUGCAUAUAUAUAUGUGUGUGUGUUUAUUACUUUUUGUUUAUGUAAUUAGUGUUAGUCCAACUAUGCAUCGCUGCACAUUAAUGGUUCCCUGUCUUAUCUUGUUAUCUCAUUUUUCCAUCUUAAUUAGUUCAUUACUAUUUGUGGUCCUGGGAGGAAUUGCUAGAUUUUUAAUCAUGUGUUAUGUCUUACAUCAUUGUAUUUAUCUGGUGUCUCAGGAGAGGUGCAAUUGUAACAACUUUCAUAGUGUGUUAUGCCCUUACAUCUUUCAUUUCUGGUUAUGUAAGUGGUGGGAUGUAUUCACGGCAUGGGGGUACGUAUUUCUUUGAUUGAUAUGAUAGAUGUACUAGUCAUUCUGUUUAAGCUUUCUAACAAAUCACUACAACCUUUAUCAGGUAAAAACUGGAUAAAGUCAAUGAUACUCACAGCAUCCCUAUUUCCAUUUAUGUGCUUUGGGAUUGGGUUUGUCUUGAACACAAUUGCUAUUUUCUACGGGUCACUAGCAGCUAUUCCUUUUGGCACAAUGGUGGUUGUUUUUGUCAUUUGGGCAUUCAUCUCUUUUCCUCUAGCACUUCUUGGUACAGUUGUUGGAAGAAACUGGAGUGGUGCUCCUAACAAUCCUUGCCGUGUGAAAACCAUUCCUCGUCCUAUUCCUGAGAAGAAAUGGUAUUUAACCCCAUCUGUAGUCUCAAUGAUGGGAGGACUUCUGCCCUUUGGAAGCAUAUUUAUUGAAAUGUAUUUUGUCUUCACAUCCUUCUGGAAUUACAAGGUGAAAUUUCGAUAACUAUGUACUGUUCAUAGGAUAGACUUGCUGAUUACGUAGAUCUGAGUACAAAAUAAGAUUGCAAACAUAGGCUGUGUAUGGCAUUCCUUAGAGUUAGACAAAGUUACAAUAGUUGGGAGUCAUUAUGACACCAAGCUUGUGAAAAUUGUUGAAGUCAUGAGGUUCAUUUGCUUAAUUUUACAUCUUGAAAGCAAUGAUUCCUGGUCUGUCUUGGGAAUCGUUUGUUUGUCAAGGACUCGGUGAAGUUCUGUUUCACCACAUUUGAGAAUAUUCUGUAUUGUUUAGAAAGCUGUUAAGUCUAUUGUGGCAAAAGUGCAUGAUACUUGUUGAGUGUUGACACAGUGAUUAACAUGAAUAGUAACGUAUUUCUUGGUCUUUGUGUCUCAACAGGUGUACUAUGUCUAUGGCUUUAUGCUGCUUGUUUUUCUGAUUCUCAUCAUUGUUACCGUAUGCGUGACAAUUGUGGGGACGUACUUCUUGCUUAAUGCUGAGAACUACCACUGGCAAUGGACUUCUUUCUUUUCUGCUGCAUCAACAGCUGUCUACGUGUACUUGUAUUCAAUAUAUUACUACUAUGCAAAGACUAAGAUGUCGGGUUUCUUCCAGACCAGCUUCUAUUUUGGGUACACUUUGAUGUUCUGCCUUGGCUUAGGGAUCCUCUGCGGUGAGUUUUAUCUUAUGCACUAACUUGAAUUUCAGUUCCACUUCAUGGAUUUUGAGAUUUCAAUAUUGUUUUUUGCUCGACUCUUGUUCCCACCCAACCAGUAUGGCAGCAGGAAUGUGGGCGACCAAUUGUUGACCUAUGUAUUUAGAGGCUUUCUUACGGUGCUAUCAUUUCUUGAUUGAACUAUGCUUGACCUGAGCUUUAGUUGCAGAGUUACCGAGAAGAAUCGUAUCUUCUUGAGUGCCAUGUUCUCCCACCCUCUGAUUAUUUGUUUGUUACCUUUUCAAAUGUGCAGGAGCUGUUGGAUAUUUGGGUUCCAAUUUGUUUGUGAGGAGGAUCUACAGAAAUAUCAAGUGCGACUAGAGCAUCUCCGCGAGGAAAUGGACCUGAUGGAGCUUUCCCGAGUAGAUUGGCCGUUGUUGAGGUACGUGGUCAGGGAUGGGGAUCCGGCAACCACUAGGGACCAAAAUCGCAGGGUUGAGGAUAGGGAAUGUAUUCUUUCUCUGGACUUGGGAAAGCCCUGAGAGGUUUUUUGUUUCCCCAGCUAUCAGUGAAAGCCUAAAUUUUAGAUUGCAGAGAUUGUUUUAUAAUCUACAGUUAGCGGACGUCGAACUCCUGUUGAUUUUAUUAUUUUUCGUCCUUUUACAAAUAGGUGCCCUAUUACUCUCUCUCUCUCUGUAUGUCUUUGGGAUGGAUGGAAAGGAAGGGAAGGGCUUCCCGAAACGAACCUUUGAUUCCGAGUUAUGUAGCGACUUUUGUGAAUUUUGAUUCCAUCUGUACCUUGCAUAUAUAAGUAUCAUUGUCUGAAACCUCACUUUGUGUCUCUACAUCUUUGCAUGAUUUGUUUCGAGUAUUUCUUUUAACCCGAUAUGAAUGACAAUUCGGGUGAUCUCGUGAUAUUUCGUUGUGAGCUUUUUAGCCAAAAUAGUUCUUGAAAUUUUCAUUAUUUCUUACUUUGGUUUUUGAGAUUAUUCAUCAAUAAUCAUUUUUGUCCUUCCGUGAAUAGUUAUGUUAAAUAAAGAUUAAAAUGAUAAACUACCCUCCAUUUAAUAAACAAUAGGUUAAAAUGAUUUGACAAAAAAAAGUAUUUUUAUCAUUUUAUUUUUGUUUAAUGAAUAUUUCUUACAGAAUGAUCAAAAUGAUUGAUGGUGGACAAACUGAUAGAUCAAUUUUAUCGAUUUCAAAUCUCAGAAAUCAAAAUAACGAGUUAUGUAAAUCUUAGAGAUCAUUUUAGAUAAAAGAGCCUUUUAUGGAGCCUAUAGCAAAUGGGCCUUUUCAUGCCGUAAACGAGCUCUGUUUCUUCGACAUCCAUGUUGUGCGAAAAACUGUUAUAUGCUGACAUAAAUCUUCGUACAAAAAUUACAUAAAUCUUUGGAUCUUUUUGUUAAAAUCUUGUUUAACAAGUAAUCCUAGUUUAUGAUAGCCUAUUGUUGCAGAUGGUGCUAGUUUGAUCUCCGUCAAUUUCCUUUUCCCUAGUGUUAAUAUUAUCGCUCUCCUCAAAAUGAUAGCCUCGUGUUAUACAGGUACUGCUAUAGUUAAAGUCAAUCUUGGUGAUUUUAAUUUAACUAGUUUUGUUUUUAAUAAUACGAUAUUUCAAAUUACUACAAUCUAUUGAAAGAGAAAUUCAAACUUUAAUGUCAGGAGACAAGAACACCAUCUUAGCCAAUCGGCCUGACAUACACUGAUUUAGCCAAUUGACCUGACCUGCAUCUGUAUUUUGGUCUACUAGAGAUUAGAUCAUCUUCGUAUCUUGUAAUCUAGAGCCGACAAACUGAGAAAUUCUGAUCGGUCAAGAGAAAGGUCCGGACCCUUGAUUUGUGUAAGAUGGACCAAUAGAAUGAACUAAUAGGGGCCGUAGAAUUUAAAAAAAGUGGUCCAAACUUCUUAGUCUGUCUGCUUCGGAUUGCUAGACGCGGGGAGGAUUCGAUUUGUAGUUGAAAUAAGACCAAAAACCUCGUUCAGAGGAUUGUGCCCGCCACAUUCACUCACCCCUACAUGGUCCUGUGGUGAUGAUAAAAAGAUAGAGUGAUCCACAAUAUUUUGCCACGUGGCAGAUAAGGGUUGAUGCCACUUCACCCUCCCUCUCUCUCUCUCUCAUUUGUAGCCACCAUUUCCACAAGCCAUCCCAUUUAUCAACACUACUAAGCUUUUCACUCCCACUCUCUUUAGCCACAACACAAAAGCCUUGCAACCAAAGCAAAACAAAAACCAUGGCAGCCACAGCAGCAGCAGCUGUCUCAAGCACCAUGGUCAGCACCUCCUUCAUCCGCGGCCAGCCGAUGACCAGCCUGCGGUUGUCCCCCAACGUCGGCCAGGCCCUUUACGGGCUGAAGGCCAACCGCGGAGGGCGUGUGGCGAUGGCUGCCUACAAGGUGAAGUUGAUCACACCAGAAGGGCCACAAGAGUUUGAGUGCCCUGAGGACGUAUACAUUCUCGACGCGGCGGAGGAGGCAGGAAUUGACCUGCCCUACUCCUGCAGGGCAGGGUCUUGCUCCUCGUGCGCCGGCAAGGUUGUGAGUGGGAGUGUGGAUCAGUCGGACCAGAGCUUUCUGGAUGAUGAUCAGAUUGGCGGUGGAUUUGUGCUCACCUGCGUGGCGUAUCCGGCGUCUGACGUCACACUUGAGACCCACAAGGAAGAGGAGCUUACUGGUUAAGUGCUUUUGAGCUUUCUCAUGAUGAUGUCAUGUUUUGACGGCUGCUGUCUGGUUGAAUCUGGCUUAGUUUGUUUCAGGAUAAGGAUCUCUUGUUUCUAAUUAUAUGAGUUGCUUAAUGUUUUUGUACUCUCGUUUGUGGUAUAAAAAUCUUUGUACCUUGUAAACUCACCCACCCUUACAUGAAUUCUCUCUCUCUCUCUCUCUCUCUCUCUCUCUCUCUCUCUCUCAUCCUGUUUGGAAGUGCUUUUAGGAUAAUUAGAAGUGCUUUUAGAUAAUUAAAAGAACAUGUGACAACGUUUGUUAGUAAAAGUAAGGUUCAAGAGGGAAGAACUUGUAAUAAAAGUGCUUGUGAAGGUAGAAGAAAGCCAUAUUUAACUGACAGUGGAAUGAAUUUUAACAUGGCUUAACAGAAACUUCCAAGUGUUCAGCCAUUUUCUAAACCUAAACAACGCCCUCGCUUACUAAUCCGUAAUCAAAAUGCUAGGAUUGUACUAGAGUUGAAUGACGAGUCAGAGUCGGAUUCCUGUUGAUUCCAAUUACGAAGCCUCAACUUGCUAAUCAAGCCCUUCAUGUUUUCUGAAACAACUCUAAUAGAGUAUCCAUUUGUUCUUCCACUCCAUCAUCUUCAUCGCUGUUUAUCGGAGGCUGUGAUGCACUCAUUCUCACCGCAUCAGAUAAAUACUCUUCCACUCGAAAUGAGUAGUCAUGCUGAGGUGGUCCGGAAGUCUGUAGAUCAGCCUCGGGUUGCUGUUCCAUUGGUGCUACCGUUACUUGAUGUAGGGAGUCCAAGGAUGAGUUCCGAGACAAGGUACCAGAUGCAACGGUUAUCUCAUCCCUCUCGUCUGUUGUAUCAAGUGAACAAACUGACCUUGUUGCGUGUGAUUGUUUAGACCUCUCCUUUACUCGCUUGCACCAACUAUGGAGCGAAUCUCUAACACUCUCAGCAACAAGAGCUUUCUUACACUGGGAUCCCAUCUGCAGUCACCAAAUAGCGAGAAUGAACCAUAAAAAUCAACUCAUUAGUGCGAGUCAGAACAAUUUCUUAGCUUCUGUGACAUCCAUAAGUUCCCGUAAAUAAGAAACCAUUAGUUUGUUAGGCUAAGGUAACAAUCCCAGAAAGUCUGCAGUAUUGUGCAUUGCACAAAAUUCUAACAUAAAUCAGUGAAGCGUUUAAACAAACCUGUGUAACAAUUACGUUCAGAGGCACUGUGCCGUAACUACACCAGAACUGAACAAGAACACUGCAAAUUUGCAAUCACCGAAAAAUUAAGAAAAAUAUUGUAAGAUGCAUAAUACCAGUACUCUUAACAUAUCCAUGGUCAACCUCUAGGACUGAUUAACGUUAGGAUCCUGUUCAUAUGCAUCAGCAUGACCGGAAAUUAUUGUGUUGUCAAAGUACAUAACAUACCCACAGGUCAACCGAAUAGCGAUCAUUAAGUGGUUUUUCAUGAAGCAUGAUCUCUCCUUGAGCCCCCACUGCAUAUACAGAGGAAAAGUUCAGUACAUUCCCAUGAUCUCUGAAAUUCCAUCCAACAAAUUUAUAUAUCGUUACACGAGACCAAUGUCUUACCAAGGACCAGAGAAAUGUCGCCAUCUCAAAGGCAUUCUGCAGUUACACCAAGAAAACUCGUGAGGAUCAAGGUAACUACAAUUAAGACGUAAGAUAUGAAUUUCAAAUAUUCGUAACCUGAAAUAUGAUGAACUGUAUCAACCGCAAUAGUAUCACAGGUUUUCCAAACCAAAACAAAUCAUCACGUGGCUUUACUUGAGUCCCAUUAGCUGGCCCUGUUUGUUCCACUUCAAGUGCUAAGGAAGAGACGACAUGCUGUAGUUUCGUUCCAACCAGCAUGACAAGCUUUGACAUGAACCAUCCGAAAGAAAAAUGAGAAGGAAGAUUGUUUUAUAGACGAUUUACUUUAGAACAAUGAUAGCAUUUGUACUUACAAUGGCAGGGAUGAAAGAAAGCCAAAAGUAAAUAUUCAAACCUGCAGAAAUCGGAAAUAUGUCAGGAAAUAAGGUUCCAAUAACAUAGACACGUGCGCAAAUCUAUUUAUUUGCAUUCUGAAGAUACAAGACUUUACCAUGAACAUUUACGAAUAUGCAGACUAUGGAAUAUCCCCAAAGUGGGCAGCUGCAAACAAAAAAUUAUUCAGAUACAACAACCUUCAUCCUGUAAGUCCAAUAACUCAUCUAUUCAAAGCUUAACGUCCAAUGACACCAACCAGAGGGUAAAAACGUUCCAAGUGAUAUUUACGGGCAUUGGAAAAGGUCAUUUCAUCUUCUAUCGAUAUCACAUACUUCUGUACUGUCCUAUACAGCCUUAUAUUAACAGGAGAUGUGAAUAUAAUAUAACAGAUUGACAGCCAAGAAGCGCAAACCAUGACAACUCAAGUACAUACAUACGAUACAAAACUCCCAAAUAUCUGAAUAUAACAUAGUUUGGUAUAAAGUCACGUAUGUAAUCCAGAAAAGUGCUUACCUAAUACCCAGAAUGCCCUGAAAUUCAUCUUCCAUACUCCGGACCAUGUAUUUAUGAAAAUUAUAAGAAAGCGGAAGUUUGUGCUUCUACAUAUUACGAACACAUAAACAAAAAGCCAUGCGCAUCAGUACAAUAACAACAUCAAAAAACCAUGAGAAGGGAUGCUAUUCCAGUGAACAAGAAAGUCAACAGAAACACACUGGUUACUAAUCUCAAAACACCUAGAGUGAUUAAUACACUCUAAGAUCUGCAACUUUAUGCAGCAUGCUGCAUAUUCGUUCAGAUAGUUCGAGGUUUCUAGUGCAAUAUAGAAAACAGAAUGUUUACUAACUUUUUGUUUUACAAACAAAAUAAAAGGACGAGAGACAACCGAUUACAAAUAUGAAUACAAAGAAAAAUGAGGUGCCAAAGUAUGUCUUGUAUAUAAGCAGUAGGAAACCAACGUGUUCAACUAAGGGAAUCAAUAAUAAUAUACUCACACUGAUGAAGCCCGAACGCAGAGCCAAGUAAUCUGAUCUCUCUAUAGAACUCUUAAAUUGUCGUAGAAAGCAGAGCUGCAGCAUUAAGAUGCAAAUCAUUACUUUAAAGACAUUCGAAAAUUCAGGAUAUCGAAGAUAUUUAGCAAAUAAUUGGAGAUAAGGGCCUGAUCCAUAAUGUCCUUGCAGUAAAGAAGUUUUGACUGCUAUGUGUUUUAAAAGUUGUCUUGAUCAGAAAACACUAGGCAAAUGAACUCAAAGGGGUAUGUUUCAGCUCCCUUUGUUUUUAUCAAAUCUUACAAAAAUUUGUUACCAUUAGUUUUUGUGAAAAGGGGGAAUCAAGGUUUAACAUAUUUUCUUUUGUAACAAGGAUGAUAAGUUACCAUCCAAAUUAGAAGCCGAUUCCUGCUCCAUGGAUGAGAUGUGUGAUGGAAAAUAAAGGUAGACUGCCGCCUCAUGACCUUGUUUUUCUUUGCUAAAGAAAACACCAAUGGAUUAGUAGGCUAAUAUAGCCAAGAUAAUAUAUAUGUACUUCAAAGACUUGCAAAAAUAGGGUAAUGAAGAAGGCAUGGAAAUACACUAGAAGUUAUCAGUUGAAAGGAAACAAAAAAAUCCGCAAAAUAAAACCUCUGAAUUUACUCAUCUUCUAGACUCCAAUACUGAAGCUGAUGCUAGUGUGUGUGUAUGUGUGUGUGUGCAGGUGCUCGUUUUUGAACUCACAUCAGCCAAGUGCACAUUUCGACACCAGUUUGUGUUAUUCGGUUGUUAUCAGAACCCCUUGACAAUGAACUAAUAUUCUUUCCCAUAUCAAACUCCUGGGUAAAUAUUCUCAAGUACCAACUUCUAGAUUUCGACCAAGAAAAUUCAUCAUAACAAGUUCAUUCUUGUGUCCAAGAUAACUUCUCUCGGCUCAGUUAUCUCAAUAGCCAAUUUUUUGGUUUAGACUUAACAAAAAGAAACCCAGGCCUGCUGUUCUAUAACCCUCUACAGACAGAAGUGAAGUGCCACAGGCUGGGGGAUGGUUAUUGAAAACAACCCUUUCUUGUUUAAAAUAAUUGACAUAUGUAAUCAUUAAUGUUAGCUAGUAUGAGACAUCACAAUAUUUGAUUUUGCUUAAUCUGAUAAGGUUACAGGUCCACAAGCAUCAGGUCAUCCAACACUAUUGACCAAUUUCUCCGAUAAGAUGGUGUCGAAUGGCCUUGAAAUUGACCUCAAUUAGGCUAUUGCGUUUAGUAAUUGAGAAAAAUAUCACCAGCAUAACAAGGCUUUUUACAGAUUCAUUGCUAAGUGGGUGCUGAACAAAUUCCAGGAGGCACCUUAACUAUCUUAUUUUUCGUUUUCUCAUGUACCUUGAAAAUUCGCAUCAGCCAAUGAGAUCGCUUGAUUUUCCCAUUUCCUCCAACUGUAAAUCUGUAAACAGGUCCACAAAUUCAGAAUGCAAUGGCCAAAAACAACAAACCAUUAUCCCACUAAGUGGGGUCGGCUAUAUGAAUCCUAGAACGCCGUUGCGCUCAGUUUUGCGCCAAGUCUUCUGUUAACUCCAAGUACUCCAUGUCUUUUCUUAGAGUACUUGGAGCUAACGGAAGACUUUUCUCAGAAUGCAGUGGACAUCACAAGGAAAUGAAAUUAUAACUUUUAGUCUGCACGGUACUGGACUUAGUUUGCAAAAUCAGGAUAAGAGAUAAAAAGUUCUAAGCAAGCAUAUAUUGAGCCAACUCUAAGGUUGUUGCUGCUAAGCUCUGUAAUAGUAAAUAUAUUCAGCAGUGCAGAGUUGAAAACAGCAAUUUCACAAAUGUAGGCCUCCAGUAAAAAUUAGGGAUGAAGAUUGCACCUUGCUCAUAGCCAAAGCCACAGCCAAACAACUGUACAACACAUGGGUGAUCCCAAGAACGAACAGGAACCGGUGCAGCUGCUCCAGUCCCUCAUAAGAAACAAACGGUUCCCGGCCCUGCAGUUAACCAUUAGAAUCUGUAAGGAAAAUGCAUCCACAAAUCUUCCAAAAUUUAACUUCGGAAACCAGUUUACCUCACCACAUUGAUGAGAAAAAUUAGUUAAUCCUCUUGGAAUCUCAGUCUUGUUAGGAGAACUUUCAAGCAUGACAUGCUUCUUGGUGCUGUCAUCUUCCUCGGAACAGAUGUAAAAUUGACUGGUGAAAAGGGAAGAGUUUACACAAAUCCCAGAGAUCCACCUUGCCGAUUGUGACAACAACAACGAUAUUAGGCCAAGCAGCAUCAAUUCUGCCAUGAAGACCGAAUGCCAAUUAGAACAAGAAGAGAAAUGUAAACAUUUAAUCGGCAUUGUCACAAACAUUAGGGAUAUCAGAAGUCUAGGCACUCCUCAGUAGAGAAGUUGUACUGUUUGAACUUAAACCGGAGGCUCAACUCACCUUCCUUAAUCUUCUCCAAAGAAGCAAACAGCGCUUUCCUCCUUGUCUUCUUCAACCACUGCACACAAAAUAACACAAAUCACUGUUGAAAACUAAAACUAAAAAUUGAAAGAUCUUAAAUCCAAAAUUCAAAAAUGCCUUCAAUAACUUGUUAAGCUCGUCACUUAGUAUUACAGUGUAGUGGUGUUCCUCUUCACUUGUAAGUGAGAGGACUUAGGUUUGAUUCUCGCCAAAGGCAAAUUUGAACCACAUUAUUGCUAGCCCAUUGUGAGGCUAAGCCCAUCCCCGCCCCUUUAGCUUAGAUAAUAUCGUUGUUAAAAAAAAAAGAACUUGUUAAGCUCAAUAAAACAACCCUCCAUCACAACAACAUUCAAACUUAUUUCCUCUCCGUUCCUGCCCUUUUCUCAGCAACCAAGCAUAGAAACUGUCGAAGCAGGUCCCACAUCGAAAAAGUUAAAUCGCCAUUAUAUUGAAUGGUUCUACGACUAAUUUCAUCAAAACUUUUGUAUAAAACGGUAAAACCCCAACCUAUUGCCUAUUGGAGUAUACGCGUGGUUAAGUUGGGAUAUCAAUGUUGAUUAGUAGUGUACCACUGGACCGUACCGAAUAGUUUGAUAGAAACUUGUGAACUAAACUAAACAGAUAGGUGUGUGGGUUUCACUUGAUGAAAAAUCUGGUGUCCAAAACAAAAUUAAUUGAGCAAAGUAGCUAGCUGGGUCCCAGACAUUGCAGAAUCUACAAAUCAGCAUAUUUUCAAAGCAUUUCAUCAUCAAUUCAUUACAAAACUCUUCUCAUAUGUAUAUCUCCAAACUAACAAAAAUGUAUGCCAGAUAGCUAUAUGGGUCCCCAAUACAUUAAAAUAAAUAAAGGGCACAAUUUUGCUCACCACACCCUCAAGUGGUGGCGUGUUUAUCAUUAGAUGAGUUUAAAUUUUAAAAUUUAUGUCUAUUUACUAAAUAUAUCUCGAAAUUUAGACUCAUCUAACAGUCAUAAAUAAGAUGGUGAGCAAAAAUACCCUAAAAUAAAACCCGUUUUCUUUUCUUGAAGCUAUAAUAAAUUAGAUACAGCACUACAACUGUGAAUCAAAAGACUUCGUCAAGUUGGCUAAAACACCGAAAGUUCAAAUCUUCUCUUCAGUUUAAAUUAAAUUAAUUAAAAUAUCGCUCGAAUAAAAAAAUAUCAACCAAAAGAAAUUUACAGCACUAGAAAUAAAUUAUAGCUUUCUCACGAAACAUUUCCCAACUAAGCAGAACAAACCAAGAUAUUUUGUUUACCUUUCCACAUCUGUAGAUUGACCUUUCUACCAGAAGGCAGACAAAGACCAUAACAAUAAUAACCGAAGCAACUGAAUACGUUGGCGUCUCGGCCAACGACCUCUGUUGCUGUAUCAUCUCCUCCAUCUCCUCCUCCUCCUCCUCGACCAACAAUCAACAGUCAACAGAAAACCAUCAACUGUUACUCUCAAAGGUUCGACUUUCUUAGUUUUUAAGGAAAGAUGGCAACUUUCUGGAGAAAAUGGAAGCUGCCCAACAGCCCAAGUGGAAAAAAGCAGAAAGAAGGAAAGAUCCAGGAAAUGGGGAAAUACCAAGACCACGUUGUUGUGUAAUAUAUUAAUGUUGUUGGAGAGAGAGAGAGAGAGAGAGAGAGAGAUAAUUGAAUGAAUUUGAAAGUAGUAGGAGGAUCUUCUUCUUCAAUAUUUUACAUAUAGAAUCUAAAGUUUGUUGCAUUAUUUAUAUCCUUUUUCUUUGUCUGGGUUGUGAUUUUCUAAACAAACCCACCUUCCAUUUGCUUUGGAAUUGCUGCUGCUAUUUCUCUCUCCCUCUCUCCUUCUCUCCCUCUCCCUGUGGAUGUGCUGGAGCUGCAUGUCUUUUUACAAACCUACUCACGUGGAGAUUAGAGAAUCAUCGUAUCCCUCCCUCCAUUCCACAAUUAGGGAAAAGUUUCAAGGAUCCAACGGUCCUUUUGACUUCAGAAACUGGUAAUAAUAUCACACUCUGUUGCCUUUUUAGCUUUAAAAUGAUUCCCCAUUUGACAAACUCUUUCUUUGAUCCUUCGUAUUGAAAAUCAAAUGGUUUCUAAGUUCAUUCACCGUCAAGUAUUUAUAUUUUUUAUGAAAAAAUUUCGUUAAAUGAAAGUAAGUAGAAGGAUUGAUGGGACAAAAAUAUCAUUAAUUUAAGGGAACUUUAACGAAAAGCACCCGAUACUGUUCACUUUAACGAAAAACCACAUUUUUAUACUAAAAAGUCAAUUUUGGUACUAUUCGCUUUACCCUUUAUUUUGUCCUUAUCAUUAAAACUCAAAGUUUUCAAGCUCUUUUCAUUAGUUUUCCUUUAAUUUAAUGAAAGUUUUGCACAGGAUAAUCAAAAUGAUUAACUGUAGGCAAACUCAAAUACCACUUUUAUGGAUUUUCAAUCUCUAGGAUUAAAGUGAAGAGUUAUAUUAAUCUCAAAGACUAGUUUGGCUAAAAAGUCCACUUCGUUUCAAUCGUAGCUCAUUCAUUAUGAAGUUUAAACCAAUUAGUUUUAUAGUACAACCCUAACUUUUUUAAAGGUAUUAAAGCAAGUUGGUCCGUGUAAAGUUUUAUGGCUGCACGUGUUCCACGUCACCAAAUUUGUAUUUUGCACGUGUUGGCUUAAAAAUUUGCUAUCAUUUGAAGCUGAUUUGAUUGAUAUUAAGCAAUUUAACUAUAUUCAAUGAUACCGUAAAUUCAUCGAUUCAAGGGCAAAAUAGAAAUUGUCUUUUAAAAAAAUGUAGUAACAGUUUACCCCUCAUUUUUCAUAUUUUUCUACUUUGUUUUGCUCUAGAAAAUGGGUAUUCCUUUUGUUUAUACCAUAUUUAGGGCCUCGAUUUAGACCUCGUAUAAAUACUCGGAUGACUUAAAUGUAAUUAUGUAAUAAAAGAAGGGGCAAAUAUGUAAUAAGUGAGGAGUCCUUAUUCUAUAAAGGGACCCCUCACCCUCACAAUUGGAAGAGGCCAAUUCCUAAGGCUCCUCACCCCCUCUCAAAGCUCUCACUCUCAGAGCUCUCUCUCCCUCAGAUAAAUACAUAACCAGUGUGGACGUAGCCCAAACCUUGGGGUGAACCACGAUACAUCUUGUGUUAUUUACAUUACUUGCAGAUUCACGGCUGGAUUUACGUUGUUCCAAGACCUCCGGUUUUGUGCAUCAACAUUUGGCGCCGUCUGUGGGAAACGAUACGAAAAGUUGUGUUGGUUCUCUUUCAUUUUUUCACCUCCACCGUGAAUUUGCAAAAACCCAGCAACCCUGUCCUCCAAAUCAAUCUGCAACACUCUUUCAACUUUCCCACCCAAUAACAACAACAGAAAAAGCUGAAAACCGAAAGAUUGCAAUUCCCCUCUCUCACUGGGUUUGUAGAAAUUAAAGAUGUGGUUGCUAUCUGAAAAUGGGUUUCUGAGAGCCUAUCAGCUGACGGGAUUUUGAGAGUCUAUUUCCCUUAUUUUCUGGUUUUCGUUUUUACCCUAAUUGCCCUAAUCGAGCUCCCAAGCUUUGCAUCAUCAAGCCAUGACUACCAAGAGGCAUUGUCCAAGGCCAUACUAUUCUUCGAGGGGCAGAGCUUGGGGGUCUUACCUCAGGACCAGCACCAAUCAUAGCGUGCCAACUCAAGACUCAGUGACGGGUGAACAUACAACACGGACUUGACCAACACAAACUCUCCAAGUCUCAGAAUUCUCAUCCAUCCCACCAUCAUCAUGCUCAUGCCGCUGGGAAUAGAAGAAUAGGCCAUCAAUCCUUAGAUCUGCUUAUUUUAUCGCAACUUGUCCCUCUGGCCUUUAUUUUUUGCCAAUUGAAAACAGAUCUACGAGGCGAGAGAAAAAGUUUUUAUCAAUGUUUUGGGCUAGGAAUUUAAACGGUGGAUGGAUGAAUUGAUUCACCAGAUGAAUCGACCGGAUCGAAGAACUGGGCCAAAUCUGCACCUAAAAAGGCACCAGCUCCUGGGCUCUCGAAGCUUCUACCAAACCAACCCUAUAUUCCCUUCUCUAUUGCUGAACCAAAAAAUGACCAGUCAUCAGCUUUCCGCUUGGGAAGCUACUCAAGAGCAUGAGGUGCAGUGUGUUUUCGGGGUGCAUGAUGUGAACGAGGAGCUUGUGGUGUCUGUGUGUCACCAGGAUAAGGAGCAGUCUGGCUUGUUUUAUGGCGGGUCUGAGUUGGUGGGUCGGGUUUCGAUUCCGGUUUCGUCUGUUGCUGCUGAGAGUAAUUGCACCUUACCACCGGCUUGGUAUACUCUUGAAAGUCCUAGGACUGCAAAGAUUGUGAUGAUCAAGGUAUGUGCUCUGGAGAAAAGCAGAGAGAGAUAUGCAGUAGAAAGAGAUCAAGAAAAGCAAAAAGAAAAGAGAAAAGUGAGAAAAGCAAAGAUUGUGAUGAUCAAGGUAUGUGCUCAGGUGCUUUGAGUUGUCAUCCGAAGCUUUACCCAGCAAGAUAAAGGAAUUCAGACAUAAUGAUGCCAAGCUGGUUGUCAUCCCACAGGUCACAGCACUAACCAGGCCGAAAGCAAAAGAACAGAGAGAGUGCAGUAGAAAAUCACAAGCAAAAGCAAGGAAUAAACACCCACACUGCAAAAGCAAGGAAUAAACACCCCACCAGAGUGAUGUGGUUUACUUUCCUUAUUUUUGAAUGAUGUAAUUUAUUUUUCGUAUCUUUCGGAGAUAUCUGUAUAAACCUCAUCAGAGGGUAAUAAAAAAUAAAAAAAAGGUUAAAAUGUUAUGUGGAGGGCGAAGACCCAUAUGCCAAAAAGAGCCAGGCCCUAUGGCCCCAAAAUUAUCUGGUAACCCGCCGCUAUUAUCACCAACCAGGUGAUUAAAAGUACGCCUAAUAUUCCAAAAUUAUUAGGCAACCCGCCGCUAUUAUCACCAACCAGGUGAUCAAAAGUACGCCCAGUACUCCAAAAUUAUUCGGCAACUUGCCGCUAUUACCACCAACCAGGUGAUGAAAUGUACAACCCGUACUCUAAUAUCAUUUGGCAACUAGCCAUUCAUGCCACCAACCAGGUGAUGAAAUGUACAACCCGUACUCUCAUUUAUGUCACCAACCAGGUGAUCAAAAGUACGCCCAGUACUCCAAAUUAUACAUGAGCAUUACUUAUGUCAUUCAUACAUAAACAUUCAUGAGCAUCACUCAUGAUAAUCAUACAUAAACAUUCAUGACCAUCAUUCAUGUCAACAUUCAUGAGCAUCACUCAUGUUAAUAUUCAUGAGCAUCACCCAUGACAACAUCCAUGAGCAUCACUCAUGUCAAUCAACAUAAACAUUCAUGAGCAUCACUCAUGUCAAUCAGCUUCAAAAGCUUCAUUUACAGAGCUCUAGCUUCAAAAGCUUCAUUUACAGAGUUCUAGCUUCAAAAGCUUCAUUUACAAAAGCUCCAGCUUUGAAAGCUUCAUUUACAGAGCUCUAGCUUCAAAGCUUCACUUGCAAAGCUUCACCUACAAAGCUUCAGUGCAGGGUAUACAAAUACUGCCUCCGAACAACCGCCACUUCGGCCCAUACAUGGAUUCAAUUUGAAGUCUCCAGCCAACAGACUCUAUUGACCGAAGACUUGGGGGACUACAUUAUACACCAUAUAUUGGGCCUCAACUGGGCCUUAUGAAAAAUACUUGGGGGACUUAGCCCAUUAUUUAUGUAUUGAGGAGUGAGCCCUUAUUUUAUAAAAGGAACUCCCUCACUUUCAUUAGAGAGCACAAAUUAUUCAUGUACUGAGGAGCGAGCCCUUAUUUUAUAAAAAUGACUCCCUCACCAUCAUUAUAGAGCAUCGCCACCAGCUGAGCAACCACCUUGCCGCGAGCAUCACUCUUAGCCCAUCACUUAUGUAUUGAGGAGCGAGCCCUUAUUUUAUAAAAGGGAAUCCCUCACCACCAUUAGAGAGUAUCGCCGCCUACUGAGUAACCACUUCGCCGCGAGCAUCAACUCUAGCCCAUCAUUCAUGUAUUGAGGAGCGAGCCCUUAUUCUAUAAAAGGGACUCCCUCACCUUCAAUGCCACAAGCCGAGCCAACCAAGGCAACAUAAGUCACGAGACAAGCAGCCUUGCAGCAUGUGCUACUUCUAGUUGAGCAUCAUUUCAGAUUGAGCACCGCCUUAUAUUGAACAUCAAUUCAAGACAACAUCUAGUUACUUCGGCCCACACAUAGACUGAAUUUCAAGUCUCCAGCCAAAAGACUCUCUUGACUGAAGAUUUGGGGGACUACUGUUUAUACCAUAUUUAAAGCCUCCGUAUUUAGAUCUCGUAUAAAUACUCGGGAGACUUAAAUGUAAUUAUGUGAUAAAAGAAAUGGCAAAUAUGUAAUAAGUGAGAAGCCCUUAUUCUAUAAAAAGACUCCUCACCCUCACAAUUAGGAGAGGCCAAUUCCUAAGGCUCCUCACCCCCUCUUAAAGCUCUCACUCUCAGAGCUCUCUCUCCCUCAGAUAAAUACAUAACCAGUGUGGACGUAGCCCAAACCUUGGGGUGAACCACGGUACAUCUUGUGUUAUUUACAUUACUUGUAGACUCACGGCCGGAUUUACGUUGUUCAAAGACCUCCGGUUUUGUGCAUCAACACCUUUUAACCCUACUCAAAAAUUUUAAAUUUUUAUUUUUAUAAUUUACCUGUUUAUAUUCAAUUUUUUUAUUUGGCUCAGUUACAAAAGUUAUUUUACGCAAUUUUUUUUCGAAUGAUGAUCCUUUUUGUGAGGAUUUUGGGAAUCCACAAAUCGUGUUUAUUUAUCAUACAUCGUGCGGUCAGAAAUAAUUUUAAAUAAUUUUAUUUUAAAUUAAAUAUGAAUAGUACUUAACGAAAACUGACCGUACUAUAUACGAUGAACGGACACGAUUUGAGGAUUUUCAAAAUCCUCACAAAAAGGAUCCAGAGAGGAUCCUCUUGGAUUUUUUUCUAUACUUAUGUAUUUUACUUGAGCAAUCAAAUUUCAAAUUGGAGACCAAACGAUAAAUUGACUUUUUUUGUCCAAAAUUGUCUUCAAGAUAGUGAUAAUCUCUCAUUUUAAUUAUUGAAAAUAAAAAUUAAUAAAACUGUUUUUUUAGUUUGUCUAUAGUAAGUUUUUUUAGUUAUUUCGUAAAAAAUUUAUUAAUAUUCUCGUUAAGUAGAGAAGCCGGUUUGACAAAAUUAUCACUAAAAAGACGGUCACAUAAACUUUUACGUAACAGUUUAAUAAGAAUAUUAACAAAUCCUACCGAAUAACCAAAAUGAUCAGAAUCACUUCGAUCAGUUUUCACUCAAUGACCAUAAAACCCUUUGGGUCUCCCCUUCACUAAUUGUAGUGAGCCCUCUCUUCUCUUCUCUAAAACCCCGAAAACUCCGGAACUCUUCAAAACCCUAGCGAUGGCGCUGAGCUCUCUCCGCCUCCGCCGAACCCUAAGCGGUCUCUCCACCCUCCACCGCUCCCUCUCUGCAACCUCCGCACUCUCAGCUCCACACUCCUUUUCCUCUCCUCUGCUUCCUGCCUCCACGUCCGAAAAGUUCCCUGUGCUGCCGCCACAGUCCUGGACGCUCCUCCUCCAGUCUCGGACGUUCAGGUCGUCGCCGUUCUCUUCCGCGCGACCGACUUCGUACGGAAACGACCCAAAGGACGAGAUUGGCCCGAAUACGGUACUGUUCGAAGGGUGUGACUACAACCACUGGCUGAUCGUCAUGGAUUACCCGUGGGACAACAAGCCUCCGGCUGAGGAGAUGAUCAGGAAUUAUGAGGAGACUUGUGCUAAAGGCUUGAACAUCAGGUCACGCAUCUUUCCUCUCUCUCCAUUUUAUGUAUAUGCUUAUGAAGGUAUGCUUUGAUUCGACGAUAUGUUUGGUUACUGAGAAAAUCAGAGGGAAAAUCACUACUGUGAACGAAAAUGGUAAUUUUGAACCUAGCAAUAUAUUCGAGAAUCUCCUUCGAAUGCUAGGACGCUUGAAAUACAUUGUAAGGGUCGCUAUAGUAUUUAUUAGCACUUCCCUCCACUCAGGAGAAGGCGCCCGAUUCAAGUCCAACAGUAGCUUGAUUGUUUACUUCUGUGUUCGAGGUGGACCAUAACGAGUCCCUGUAGAAAGUAUUCGCCUUUGGUGGGUCUGAGAAAGAUAAAGCACCUAUUAGUCCUGCUCUGGUAAUAAUUUCAGGAUUAUGCAAAAACCGAAAGGUUUGUUGGUGUAAUCGCCUCUAAUAUACCCUUAAAAGGAACUAAUAAGAUGUUACAAUGUCUUGCCUGUGAAAUGUAUUACCUCAUAGUUCCACUAUCGAAUUUGGUUGAUGAUAUGAUAUCGAUUCUUUUCUAUAUUCAUCGACUAUUGAAUGUAAUUCUAACUUGUCUACUAUACAUAUAUUAUUGGCUAUAUAUGUUGCUCAUCAACCAUUUGGUGGAUGCGAUUAUGUCAACGCUACUAGUUUCUAUGACAUGUUUCUUGGGUAGCUUUAUGCUUGCAGCAGUCUUGUAUGCAUUGGAUUUUUCUUCUCAUAAGUAUUUUUGUGAAUCAGUAUGGAAGAGGCAAAAAAGAAGAUAUAUGCGUGUAGCACUACAACAUAUACAGGCUUUCAGGUUGAGAUGUCUGAGGAAGAGUCACAGAAGUUCGAAGGUAAGUUUUGGAUAGCAUUCUGUGUUACCAUUGAAAAUGAUAGUCUUGAACCCCGACAAUAACUUUUCCAUUAAAUUUUAACAGGUUUACCUGGAGUAGUUUUUGUGUUGCCGGAUUCUUACAUUGAUCCACAGAACAAGGAAUAUGGAGGUAGGAUGCAAUGAUCGUUUUCUUUGAGAAUAGUGGGUAGCAAUUUAUCAGCUGAUUCAACUUAAGUUGUUUUGGAUUGCAGACUUGUAAAACAAAUGAGCUAGUCCAUCCAUAUCUACCAUUUUAAUUCAAUUUAAAUUGUUUUAUCAGGAGACAAAUACAUUAAUGGUACAAUCAUACCAAGACCACCCCCGGUUCAGUAUGGAAGGCAGCAGGGUGGAAGAUUCCGUGACAAUAACAGGAACCGUGACCAACAAAGAUAUGAUCAGCAACGACCAUCAUAUAAUCCGCAAGGUAACCCCUCCUAUAAUCAACAGGGUCCUAUGCGAGGUGGAGGGAACUAUGCAGCAUCACAAAAUUAUCCACAACAAAAUUAUAGCUCACCAAGACAAGGAGAGAACACAGGUCCUAUUCCAGUGAAUACCGCGGGAGGGAAGGAUGCAUAUCAGCCAGGUGGAGAACCAGUACCUUCAUAUCAGGGCAAUUACAACCAAGGAGGGCAGCAAAGUUAUCGUCCCCAAGAACAAAGGAACUUCCCACAAGGAGAUCAGAGGAAUUAUGCCCCUCCUGGUCAGCAGGGAUUUAGGGGAGAUAACAGGAAUUAUGGUCCCCCACAUUCUGAUACUGAUGGGCAAGGUUUGAGUGGAUUUCAAGGUCAGGGAACACCUGGAGCUUAUGCGCAAGGACCGAGCUCUGGAACUUAUGCGCAAGGACCAAGCUCUGGAGCUUAUGGGCAAGGACCAAGCUCUGGAGCUUACGGCCAAGGACCUAGCUCUGCAGCUUACGGCCAAGGACCGAGCUCUGCAGCUUACGGCCAAGGACCGAGCUCUGCAGCUUACGGCCAAGGAACGGCAUCUGGUAAUGGGCAGGGAUACCCUGCACAUGGAGGAGAUGAGAGGUUCCAACAAAGUAACUCUGCACCCAUGGGACACCCAGGGAUUGACCAAGUAAGAUAUCCAAUGUUUAGUAACUAGAUGAAUUUUAACUCGUGGAGUAUGAUUACAAUUUUGCGGAUGAGAUGAGAAAAUGAUGGAAUUUUCUAGAAAUUUAGGUAGCUCAUGGUGGUUGGUUUUUGCAGGGGAAAAAUUAUUAGCGACAUGCCAGUGCCACUCAAGGCAAGACGAUGCGCGAAGGGAUGUAGGAAGACGAGUUAUAGUCAUGUUUUCUCAUGUUUGAUCUGAUGAGAAGGGAGAUUAUCUGUGUCCUUGUGAAGUCUUUCGAUGGUAAAUAUCCUCUUUCGUAGUGAAAUGAGUCAGGAAGCUCCCUUGCAUUAUCAAGUAGUGCUUAUCUUGUCAUACUCGUUUCUUGAAAAUGAUAAUCAUGAAGACAACAUUUGUAAUAUCACAAAUUUUGAAGUAUGUUUUGUUUCAAACCAAUUACAUGUGCAUAAAACAAACAGAAACCCGGCCACGGAAGGCCGGUAGAAAUCUUGGUGGUGGUUCUAGGGGAAAAGCCCCGGAAUCAUACAAGUUUCGUGCUUUCCUGACGAAGCUUUUGGAGAGAAAUAGGACUGAAAGGAAUUCUAACAGGAGAAACUUGCAUUCGCCAAUGUCACACAAAACUACUUCAGCAGAGCUACUCCCAUCAAACUCUUCUGCCGUGGUAUCAAUAACGACACCAUAAUCCGCUUCGCCAUUACCAACCAUAUUGGCAUUGGAAAUCACUUUUUGUAUGAUCAUUCCACUCUUCCUUGGCCUUACAUGUACACCUUCGUUAUUCUGUUCGUUCAAAAGUGCACAUGCAACUUGGUGCUGGUUCGAUCUUCACUGAUCCUCCUCCCUAACAACUAAUCAUUUAACACACGAAAACGCUAUCGUUUGUAAAAAUAAAACAAAAAACAAAUUCGCUAAAAAAGCCCACGAGCCCCUCGAAAAGCCUUGCAUGUACUGGUGGAGAUGGAAUAUUUUAGCCCCACAAUAUUCUUUAAAAGAUUAAUUUUUGAAUGACUAAAACAUAGCUAAGAGUUACGUUCAGCAUUUCGGAGAUAGACCUUCGCGUUAUCUGGUACAAUAUCUUUAUAAGAAAACCGAAGAGAGCCCAAACCCUCUUGGAAAUUUAUAAAUACAUACAAGGACCCUCUCCCCUCCCCCAACAUGGACGGCUAUUUCGACGCCGUUCCUAUGCCCGAUGCUGCUUGUGUGAAGUGUCCCGCCGCCGCCGCCGCCUCCUAUAUCUCAUCAACUGACGUACCAUCUUACAUUGGUUCUUCAUUCCUAAGAACGUGAUAUCAAUCUUUCGCUGCAUUACUUAGCUGAAGAGUCAUUUUUAUGUUCAUUGACGCCAACUCUGCAGCUAAAUAUCUGAAGACAUAGGGCAUUGCAACUGUCUCCAUCCCUUUACUUGUCUUACAAGCAUGGCAGAUGACCUUCUUGGGAGCUCUUACAGACGGAAUUCCUGAAACCGCACGCCCAACCCGUUUUGGUUGGAUGAAUGUGGACGUCAGGAUGCUUCCACAUAUGGAACAUACAUCGGCAAUGUGAUAAUCAGAACAGGUAUGAAGCCUGUCGUGCAACAGAUAUGCUGCCCCAUGCGCAAGCAUGGAGUCGCGCUCCAUUUCACCAAAACGUAUGCCACCACCUCGCUUUCGUCCUUUGAUAGGCUGGCGAGUGACCUGGUCUACCGUUCCAGUGGAGCGAACCUGCACGCCAAAUUGGAGUACCACAUGUAAGGCAACCAAUGAUAAAAAAAUAGGACUGAGAAAAUCUUGAAAGCUCAUCUAGUUAUAAAAUUAGAAUUUGGUUGAAUCUCAACCUGAAAUUUGUCUGAAACCAUAUGUCGUAGUCGUUGAUAAUAAACAGGGCCAAUAAAGAUCUCGCACGUGAGUUCUGUGCCAUAAACCCCGCUGUACAGAACUUCUACACCAUGGUAGUUAAACCCUUUAACCUUUAACAUUUCACCAAGUUCGUCAACAAGGGUUUUGGAUUUUGGUCCAGUCUCUCCAUUAGCAUUCUUUGAACUAGCAAAUGGAGUCGCGUCAACAUAGUUUCCGUGUAAGCUACCGCCCUGCGACAAAGAAACAUGCCAGCUUCUUUCACAGUUUCCUUUCAUUGCAUCAGAAUGCAAAACUAUGCCCAUAUUAAAGAUGUAGUAAAAAUAAAAUUCUUUAGGAUCAAGUACCUUUGCAGCAACUGAUUCCAACAGCAUAGCUAUUGUCAUUCUAGAAGGAAAUGCAUGGGGAUUGAUGAUUAGAUCUGGACGCAUUCCCGUAACCCCAGAAAAUGGCAUAUCAAUAUCAGGCCACAACUGGGAGCAAACACCUUUUUGCCCAUGCCGGCUGCUAAAUUUAUCACCAAUGAUGGGGUUUCUAGUGUGUCGAAAGCGUAUGUUUGCCUACUCAAAACGAAAAUAAAAAUAAGUAAAAUAAAGGGUAAUAUAGGAAAUGAAAGCUGGCACAAGAACGGUAUAAUAUUUUUCAUAUGGAGGAACCAAAGUAAAGGUUGUCCACUUACCUUCUGGAGGAGUUUCUUCCCAUCAAUAGCAACGUAGUCAACUAUAACAGGUUCUGUACCUUUCCGUUUGACGGCUCUGGGCUUAUGAAGAGUGUCAUUUGUAAAGCUAUAAUAUUCUUCAUAUGGUUUUAUUGUCUGAAAAGUAACAAAGAAUGAAGUAAGUACAUAAUUGCAAGCACAUAUGUAUUAUAUAUACUACAUGUAUAUUGGAUGAGAUUUUAGGCUUCAACUCUAGGGUUUUGAACUUCGAAAAAACCCAAAAGUAAUGACCUAAAAUCUUAGCAAGAGAAAAACUUGUACUUCCAGUCCGUCAACUGGCCAGUGGCUGCAUUAGGACAAAAUCCAAUCAUUAAGUCAGUUGACUGGCCAGAAGCUUGCAUCUGGACAAAAUAUCACAACAACAGUUGCACUGCCGUGAUCCCAACUAUCGGGGUUCAACAUAAUGCAGAAGAUAAUAUAGAGCAGAAACUAAAUCCAGAAAUGAAUGCUAACCUGACCAACAUGAGGAAGACCAUCUGAAUCAAUCAAAGGAUUUUUAUCGACGUUACUUUUCUUAAAAUAUGUUGGGGUGUUAUCCGACCUCUUCUUUUGAUCAGACAAGUCUAUUGUUUCUGUCUGCCAAAACCCAUCAUUUGGUAAGGGUGGGUAUUUAGGUCCAAGAAGAAGAAAACCAUAUGCAUUAGUAAAGACAUUAAUUUGGUAUACAAAAACAUUAAAGAAUAAAAGAAAAAAACCCUGUUAAAAAUGACUUUCAACAUACAAUAAGAAACAAGAGUAAAUUCAUGUAUUCAAAAUGCAUUUGGCCAAAUGAAUACAAGAUUUGCUAACAGAUUCCAUCAAGAACAAAAUCUCCCUCACUUUGUCCGGGACCUGCAGGAUGAUUAUUUAGAAAUUUUGGUCUGGACUCCAAUUUAGUAAUAUGAAUAAAGUACCAAGCUGCGUGGAAUUUCAGUGCAUAUUCUUAUAAUUUGUAAUACGACUUUGAGGCUGGACUCAUAUUUCUCGAAAUGAGCUAUACAGGAAAGCUAAAGAAAAAGAUCCAACAAUACAUAAACUCUACUUUGUAAAAAAUUCUACAAAAAAAAAGUGACCAGUAUUAAAAAGCAUCGCAUUAGACCUCUAACAAUACAAAAGAAAAAACAAGUGCUCUAGUAUACUGAGCUCAAGAAGCACCAGUGUAAAAUUAAUAAAAAGCAGAUCACAAGGGGGGAAAAAACAAAGUUGUUUCAUCCAAUAUUAUUUAUUUAUCUAUUUUUAUACUAAAGUAGCAUCAUGUGAUAUUGCAAGAAGAAACCUGAUAUAUAUGCCCAUGAAACAUUCCGCGUUCGACAGAUGACUUAUUUAGAAUCAUGGCAUCCUCCAUAUCAUAUCUAUAUAUCAUAAGAAGAAAGGGAGAAAUAUUAAUAAAUUCUAAAAGAAAAACAACAAUAGAUAGGCUUUAUGUAUCUAAGUUUCUCACCCAGUAUAUGACAGUACAGCAACGAUCGCAUUUGUGCCUGUUGGGUAUUCAUCGAUGCAGUACUUCUUAUAUGCACUUGUGCGUACAAUAGGGGACUGAGGAGUCUGUGAACGCCCCAUUUUUCAACGUAACAAUGAACAGUUAGCACAAAAAAGGAUAAAAACACAUGAUGAAAUGAAGGGACAAUAACAAUGAAGUCCAUUUAAAUAAGAGAAUUUGUAGCUUCUACAGCAAUAUUAGAUCACAUGCCUCCCUAGCACAAAUGCUGACUAAAAUGGAUCCAUCAUGGACAAACAUUCAUCAAAACAACAUCGAGAGAAAUACUACACAGUUCCAGCUUCAUGUUGUGUCAAUAAAUUGGAAAUAUGAACAAAUAAAAUACUUGGUGGGGACUAACUACUAAGAACUUAAAAUUAGAGAACAAAAAUCCACCCAAAUGCUAAUCAGUAAUCCAAAAAACCCUAUCUUAAUGGACUGGUACUUAAAAAGUUGUAUAAAGUGUUCCAGGAAAAGCUUUUCAUAAUUUAUUUCCUUGAUCCCUGCUACAGAAUAACAAGAUUACAAAGAGAACCAACCUGAAGAUGGUACAACUUUUGAUCUGCACGAUUGCAAAGUCCUUGUAAAGAGAAGGCCAUUGUUUGUUUUGCCAUCUACAGUUCAAACAGCAACGAUAUUCAAUAAAAUUUAGCAGUAGGAUUCCAAAAAUUUAUACAAGAUAAAACUUUUGUUGAACAAUCACCAAGGACAGACAAGAGGGUAAAACAGAAGAGAACCUGGCACUGAUACAUAUUUCGUGGGCUCUGAUUAUGAUCUGACCAGGGUGUAAGAUUAGCGACCACACUGAGCAUUCCAGUUGGAUGAAUUUCUUCAUGAGUUGCUGGGAAACCAUCUUUCCUUCCACCAUCUCGACCAUCAGGACAUCUUAUUUCCAUGAAAACCUAAUAUCACACAGAGAAACCAGAUAGUCAUACUUUUAGGGUCUGAUCAUAAUAAGCACCUGAUGAUCAAAGCAGAAAAAUGAAAGUGACUCAAAUCAAUAUUUAUCUGGUACCCCAUCUAAAAAUCACAAAAAGAAAAAAAAAAAUGAAAAGUAACAAGUAACAAAGCAUAACUACUUGUCUUCUUGUAAAACAAUAAUUCUUAUCACAGCAGCAAAUGUAAUCUUGGACAGCAGCAAAUGUAUCAGGGUAAAAAAAAUUAUUAAAAGAAAAACCAUAUUUACCUGUUCAAAGGGUCCAAUAAGUUCAAUAUUCUGACCUUCAACGGAAGGAAUUGAAAUAUUCUUUACUGGCCGAACAAAUCUAGAAGGGAUAGUGAAAAGGUACAGACCAGGAUAUGCUCCACCCAUGCUUAACGGAACAUAUCCCACUUCCAGAUCCUCAGGAAUCUGAGACAUCGUUUCAGCAACAAUGUCAAGGAUUGAUAUUAGAAAGAAAAGCUAGGCUAAAAAACGAGAAAGGAAAAGACAAAUAGAGGGCAAAAACAAACCACUGGAGCAGCAGACACUUUCAGCCUCCUUAAAUGAGCCACAACUUUCUCAACUUUACUGGAAGAUAUAGAACCAACAACACAGCCAUCUAACAAAACAGAAAAAGCUGCAGGAGGACCAGCUUGAACCAGAUUUGGCUUUGAAGUCUUCAUUCCAACUGCACUCAGAACACUGAGAAUAGACUCUCGGAUCUUUGAGAAGUCUCUAAUAUUUCCUUGAGCAUCAAAGAAGGAUGUAAUUCCUAUAUUGAAUAAGAUGGAAUAAUUGGUUAUUGGGUAUCACAUCCAAGACGAGUGUGGCAAUAAAUAAGACAUUUGGGAAAUAAAAGGCAAAGCACUAAUAAACAUCCACAUGAGGCAAAAUAUUUUCUCUAGCUUCUAAGUCUGACAUUAGUCAGUAAUGUAUCCCUGAUAUUUGUUAACAGCACCUUAAUGUCAUCAGUAGUGCUGGCACCAAUCUAACCUUCCUCCUGGAUAUGUAUUUUAAAAUAAUAAAAGCAAUCACUCUUACGUAACUCUUAAAAAUCAAAUUUCACGAUACAUCUUUAUUCAAUUUGCCAGUAUAAGUUGCACGACAGCCAUAAGCUCUUUCAACUCUUUUUUCCCAGUUGUCGGAAGCUUUUAUCUGAAAGCACCUUUACCCAAUCUAAAAGCAUUUCCAAACAGGCCUUUUACUUCAAAAUUUCUUAUUUCCUUUUACUCGAGUCGUUUCAGAUGGUAAAGGGUACUUUUGUGAUUUCCAAAUUUUCUGGAGUGGAGAAAUAAUCCAUGUGUAACCUGUAAUUCUUAGACCUUGUUUGUUAGAGAGGAUUUGCUUGGAUAGGACUAUUGACUAUAUUGAAGGCAUUUUGAAGGAAAAAACUUUCAUAGUUUGUCCAAGUUGAAGGUUACCUAUGAAGAAAAGAUAUCCCUACUAAUCCCAAAAAAAUGGUAGGAUUAAAAGGGACAACUUUUCUCCAUGAAUAACCUUCAACUGGACAAAAUAAGGAAAUUGUCAUCUAUUUCUUCCUUCAAAAUGCCUUCAAUAUAGUCAAUAGUGCUACCCAAGCCAAUCCUCUUUAACAAAUGAGGUCUUAGAAGUUUAAUUUUGUUAUCAAGGUAUUUAUAGAGUUCUACUUUACCUUUAGUUAGAAGUUCAGUUAUUAUGCUUCUAAAAGGCUUGCCUCGAGGCACGCCUAGGUGUCCUCUGAGGUUGGGCGUGAGGGUUGCCGCCUCUGUUUUGAGGGAGUGGAAAGAAGGCGUUGCCGGAGCCGCCUAGGCGCGCCUCAGGAUUUUUUUUUUUUUUUUCAAACUCCCAAACCCAAAUUUUGGGUAGGGUUUUAACUGCCUCAUACCUCUUCCUUGCACUAUCGUCUCUCUGCCUUUUUUUCUGAUUUUUAUUUUUUUAUAUAAUGGAUGUGUGUUGUCUACGUGCAUUGUUAUAUGUGUGCUCAUUGUGCUUUUCAUCCUCUAUUUUAUAUAUAUAUAUAUAUAUAUAUAUGUAAUAUAAUAUAUGUGUAUAUAUGUAAUAUAAUAUAUGUGUAUAUAAUAUAUAUGUGUGCUCAGGGUGAUUAUUGAUUAAUAAUCUUUUUUUUAAUAUAAUAUAUGUGUACGCUUAGUGUAUAUAUUACAAAAUUUAGGUCCCAUGAGGCUUCGCCUCACACCUAGGUCAGGCUAUCCCUUGGAAGCCUCGCCCACACCUCACGCUUUUAAUACAUUGACUUCACCAAAAGUUGUAUUGUAUUGUAGUUCUUUUGAAUCAAUGGAAAAAAGUUUCUAUAAUUCAAACCAUAUUCAGAGGUCCCCAAAUUUAAAUGAAAAACAAGAAAAAAACGAAACUUUAAAAAGAAUGGCCACAACAUGUACUUACUACAAAUGUGGGUCAUAUGAUUCAACAAGCCACAUGGUUCACCAUCAGGUGUAUGGACAGGGCAAAGAAAACCCCAAGAUCUGCAAAGAAAAAAAAUAAACCUCUAGUCGAACCCAAAUUUUAAUCAUGGAAUCAACGUCAAAAGAUUUUGAGUAACCUGGCAAGCAAAUACAUACUCAGGUAACAAUUUUCGCACACUUGUGGUGCGAAGUCCAGCGAAUGAUGCCCCUCGAUGAACAGCACGAAAAUGAGAUAUGAAACGUAAAUAGUUAAGCCUCUCUGCCUGAACGGUCAAGCCUGCCCUCUAAAGAAUAUUUGCAAAACACAUAAAAUCAUAAACAAGCAUCCAGAUAAAUCUAAAGAUAGCCUACUUAGGACAAAAUUUAUGAAGUGGAAAAGUUCAAGCAUAAUCAAUAAGCCGUACCUGCUGCAAAUCUAGACCAGAUUGAGUAUUAAGUCUUCCAGUUUUCAACAUAUUCUCAACAGCUAAACUGAUCUGCUUUGCAGGAUUUUUAUCCAUAAGCUUCUUUACUUUAGUUACUGCAUUAUCAGGAUGGAAGUGUUAAUUCAUGAGAGAAAAAAAUGCACGUAUCUGGUUAGGGCCACAGCUAAAAAGAGAGGGGACAAGAGGAAUAAUUAAUGAUUUAAUUAAGAAAUAUUAGUAUAAGAAAGAAAACACAUACCGUUGCCAAAAUCAAAGUCCUUAUUUUUGUUGAUCUCAUCUUCAAUAAUUUUUUUCGUCCUUUGCAACCACUCUUCUAGUUUUUCCUAGAAAUCAUGAUAAACACAGUGAACACAACCCUGAACUCAAAUGCAUAGAAAUUAUACUCUGAGAUAAUCAGAUAAGGGUAUUAAAAUUUAAGAUAAUUUGCUCUGAAGUGAAUGUUUAUUGGGAUAAUGGGGAUAGAAAACCUACCCUCCAGUUGAAAGAAAACACAAAAGAGACAAGAAGGGCUUUACAACAUUAAACAGCUAUGGAAGAAAUUGACCAUAGAAAUGUGAUAUUCACUGUUAUUGUACCAUGUAGUUGUAUUCAUUCACUAUGAAAUAAUAGGUUAGGGUAACAUAUUCUCAGUUAUGUUACAUGACACAUCAAAUAGUAGUAAGAUCCAAACAAAAGCAUGAAUCCCUCUCCCACAAUAACUCAAUAGAUUACUUAGUAAAAACAAUUACUCAACAACUUAAGGAUAUCAAAUGACUGAAUCGAUCCCCUUGAACUUUUGGUCAUGGCUUAAUUGCAAGUUAAUUAGCAGGGGAAGCAUUAGCCUUAGCCACAAAAAUAUUUUUAUUCUAGAACUAACCAUUGAAUUGCCACAUGGUGUUCAGAGACACACUACUCUUCUAAGUAAAUACUUAUCCCACUAGACAAGCUUUACAACAUAAAAUUCUUCAGACAUUACUGCAAUACACAGAAUAGCAGAAAAUUGUGGACAUGCCGGACACCAAAACAUUUAUGUUUUCCUCAAGAGUUAUCAUUAUAUAAACUAUGACAAUACCUUAAGAUAUAUUGUAAUCAAGUGACCAGGGAGUAGGACUUCAUGAUUUUGCAAUACUUAUCCCACUAGACAAGCUUUACAACAUAAAAUUCUUCAGACAUUACUGCAAUACACAGAAUAGCAGAAAAUUGUGGACAUACCAGACACCAAAACAUUUAUGUUUUCCUCAAGAGUUAUCAUUAUAUAAACUAUGACAAUACCUUAAGAUAUAUUGUAAUCAAGUGACCAGGGAGUAGGACUUCAUGAUUUUGCAAGGAAUCUGGGUUGUCCAGCACAGAAGUCUGAUCCACAAGUGAAAAAAGUUUCUGCACCAUAAAUCUAAAGACACGCAAAGUGUGAGAAAUGAUGCACAACACUCCCACACACAAGAAGUUUUUUAUUUUUUAUUUUUUAUUUUUUUGACCAAGGGUGAAAUUAGAAUACACACACACACACAUAUAUAUAGAAGAGAGAGAGAGAGAGAGAGAGAGAGCAGCUAACAUGAGCAGAUUGAAUUUGUCAUGAGCCUUAUUAAGGUGGACCAAUAUGUAAUUCAUUAUAACAGCAUCCCCAACCUACAAAUGAAAACAGUCAGAAAUAAGCAGCCUAACAACCCACUCCAUUUGUAAAGUAGCCUUCUUACCCUAACUCCUUUGAAGGACCAAAACGAGUCAAAGUUUGUAGAACAUGACUUACAACCGAAGGUCGUUCAUUCUCCAAGCCACCCAUAAGAGGUCGGAAGUGUUCUCCUAAUAAUGAUAAAAGGAAUCAAUACAAAUGGUUAUUAUUUUAAUCAGAUUUGAAAGACAAUGAUAAGAUAAGAGUAAGUACCAAUGUGCUCUAGACAUUCAUGACGAGUGAAAAGUUUCAAGUCUCUCACUUCAUCCAGGAUAAUUUGUGCCCUCUCACCCACUAGCUGAGUGCCAACAGCCCCUUUUCCUUUCUCAUAGUUCUCGACAUAGCAACAUGUCAAACACUCAUAAAUUUCACGAUCAGUAGUAUCAAUGAGAGCCUGUUAAGCAUGUUGGCGAAGUUAGCAUAAUCAUAUAUAUUACAACAUGGCAGCUACAUCAACGAAGGGGAAAAGGUCAAAAGAACAUAAGGUCCACAAACAGAAUAAAACAAUGAGGAACAGAUCAUGAGACCACAACACAGAUUGGGCCCAAAAGUUUAGUCCUUCACAUAACAUGAGGACACGUUCAUAAGGGAUGGAAUGUGAAUAUAACACUACUAUGCACAAAUCAACUGUCAAGCAGAGUAAAACUAUUCUACUGAAACAUUUUACCAUCAAUAUGAUAUCCUGUAAUAUUUUCAAGUGCAAUAAACAAAUUCUUUUAUUUUCGUCCUGAAGAGUUUACUCGGAUGGUGAUUGGGGAAGAGGAGGAAUAACUUGACUUUCUUGUGAAUCUUUAUCAGCAAAAGUGGGUUGGUUAUUCUAUUUGCAUUCUCUGAUAGAAAGCAUAAGUAAAAUAAACUAAUAUAUAUACAUAUAUGAACUCUAACAUAAAAGUUAAUAAAAAUUAUGAAGAGCGUUAGUUUCUCAAGAAAUUGCAAAGUACUGAACUCCACCAACUAUUUCACUUUAAACUUUUACCUCUCCCUCAAAAUAAAAAUGUUGCGAGAUGUGAGAAAGCAUUUCACAGACAGAAAAUGGAUCAAGGAAUAAAAAUAUACCUGAGAUAAAGUAAAAUAUGAUCAUGAAUUAAAAAGUUAGCCUCUAUGAUCAUGAUUUAAAAAAGAAUACGUGAAGAGGAUUCUUGCUUUUUUAUAAAACAAAAAAGGUGUUCUUGUCCAACUAGCUAAGUCUGGAUCAAAUAUUCACCUCUAUGCAUACAAAAUAUAAAUCUUGAUUGCUGAUCAUUAAAUUUUAAUCAACCUCAAAAGAUACAGAAACCAGAUGUAACGAGAAUCGACAGAAAGAGUGUGUGUGUGAGAGAGAGAGAGAGAGAGAGGAUAUACACAUUAUUUUCAAGCACUUUCAUCAAAAGUAGAAAUAUACAGAUAUCUGUAACUAGUAUUUUUCAAAGUACCUUUAAGACAACGCCUACAGGAAGCAAGUACUCCCUCCCUUGUAUCCUGCAAAAAUAUUUAAUCCAUAUAUAAUACAUAUACAUGCCCAUUUUAGUUGCCUCUCCAAACAGUAAGCCAAAAUACUAUGGUAGUCAGUAUUAAAUCACUUACCAAAAUCCCAGUCUUGCACUUCCAUUACGAAGGUAAUACAAUUUGACAGUUACUGAAGACUGAUCUUCUCUUUCACAUCUGAAAUAACAGUAAUAGGAAAAUCAAAACAAGAUAAAACAACAUAUCCUUUGCACAAAGAAGCUGCUACUGGAUCUGGAUAAUUCCUAACAACUAAAGAUGGCAAUGGUUCUGAUUUUAUAGUAAAUUAGAAGAAAAAAAACCUACAUAAGUUUAAAACAAAAACACUUCAAGAGCUCAAGUUAACUAAAAAAAAUCCCUCAUCAAUCCACUCGCUAUGCUCUAAUUGAUUAAGAAAUUCUUUGGUGCCCUUCUCACAUUACCAAGUGUUUUUUUUUCCUCAAAAGUAUUGAGUUUAAAGUGGUUUUCUCUAAAGUCUAAUGUUGUAAAGGGCUUACAUGCGAAUAGCUCCUGAUUUUAAACCAAAAUCUAACUGAAAUUCAAUAAGAUUCUGAAUGAAUCAAUCCAUUGUAAAACAAACAGCAUAUGAUUUUAACCCAAAAUGAACCAGAACAAAUAAAAAACAAAGAACAUGAAAGGACCAUUACUUUAAAAUCUUAAGAAAUUUAAGCCCAUAAAGACGUGCGGAAACAAACAAUGUCCCACAAAUAAUCGAACAUCACCCCCCCCCCCCCACACCCAACACACUAAAAGAUUCUUUUAUUUCUCUCCACCUUCCAGUCACCAUGCCACUUUUACUCCCUUUAAAAAAUGUAGGCUUCUCACAAAGUAAUGCAUUACAAGUUUCUGGAAUUACCAACUCAAUCUGAACUCCCAUUUCUAAAGAAUACCCAACUUGACAAUGGAGCAUUUGAAUUGGGGAUCUCCUUUGCACAUUACACACCAGUGAGGAGUAACGCUUCACUGUGGUUUCCUCCUUUGCACCAUGAAUUUGCCUUACCAUGAGCAAUAACCAAGCAAACCCCAUAGCUUAUGAUGUAUCUUUACCUUCCAAAUUGCAUGAAAUGCCAAUCAAAGCUGAAACUUUAACCUUUUCAUCCCAUUUUUAUGAAGAGACUAUCAUCCAUCGUAAUUUAAUUUUCAUUGACAUAGUUGUCGCAAUGCCUUGGUAAGAGAUCUGUCCCUUUGUUUUAUCCCGUUGGUUUCUGUUUUGUUGUUUCAAUAGUUGGGUAUAGGGCAGGGUACACCUUGUCCGCAGUGUUGUUCUCUUUUUAAUAUAUGCAUCUCACAAACUAGGACUGACACUAUUAUUACUAAUACUAGGUCAUGAGUUAUAAGAGAAUAUAUCAAAAUAACUUUAUUAUAAAACACACAAGCACACAUGUGUAGAGAGAGAACCAAACCUUAUUACAACUGCUUUGUCAGUAUAUCCUUCCUUUCGAUCACGAAAUGAAUUUCGCACCAUACUAGUUGGCUGGAACAAUAGGAAAAACAAAUUGAGAAAGUUAGCAUCCUUCCUCCAAAACUAUCUUUGAGGAUUGAAAUCCACCAUAAAUCCUACUGUUAAACUAUAGAGAACAGUAUCAAGUAGGCUACUGAUUAGCUUCCUAUCGUAGCAAACACAAAGUCUUCUCCCUCCAACACCCACUCCCAAUCUAACUUGAAUUCAAGACCUCCCCCAAUCUAUUCAUUCUGAUUGGGAUGCUGUUGCAAAGGAGUUCUGUAAAACAAUCACCCCCAAGAAAAAAGAAGGUUGGGGAAGAGAUGCGCUUUGGCUACAAGGGUGAUGGCCUGUCCAAAAAUUUGCUGCAUUGCAUAAGAUGAAAACGGUCACUUACAUAGUUCCGCUUUGGCAAUAUAACAAGCCGAACCACUCUCUCAAGCCCAUUUAAAAUGAAGUAACUACAACAAAACAAAUGUAGAAAAAGAAUUAACAAAGCACACAAUGUAUGGUAAAGACAAAUAAAAAACAGAAAGUAAAGAUAUCGCACAUGAUGACAUGAUAAAACACAAAAGAGAAAUCAAAAUACUUACCCACCCAUUUCCGAUGCCUCUUCUUUGUAAGAAACUAGCUUUUGGGGAGUAGCACCUCUUAAGUGGCAAAGCUUUGACUGCAUUGUACAAACAAUGAUCAUUUGCCAUCCAUCAACGAUAAGACUAAAACGGAAGAGUCAACAAAGCAAGCAUGUUUUGAUGAGUUCAUACAAAUAACAACCAGUUAUUGACAUCUCGCAAAAACGUUUCAGGUCAACACUUUAUUUUCAGGCUCAAAUCCAGCCCUGUUCAUGAUCCUAGAUUCCCAAAAUCGCUUGAAGGAAUAUGAAUACAUUGCACGAUUUACAAAUCACAAACAAAUACAAGAGCUGAUAAAGUUAAAGAACGAAAAGGAAAGAACACCGACCUGUAGCAUGAUGGGAAGCUGCCCAAAAUUGAACUUUUCUCUUAUAACAGCUCCACUAUCAUUAUACUUAAAGCAAACUUCCGCCAUGAAUUUCCCCGUGUAGGAAAGUUUAGCCUGUCUACACUGUUUAAACAACAACAAAAACAACCCAUUAAUGCCUAUCAUGUACACAAUCAUACCUGUAUACACAUACACACAUAUUUGAGUGUUUGACACUGACUUCAAAAGGCAGCAGAGGAACUUGCAUCAUUUUCGACUCUUCCUUAUAAGGUCGGUACAACGCAGGGUCACCCAACCAGAGUAAGAUAAGUCAAGAACAAACAUAUCCAUUUCAAUACCAUAAUCAACUAAUUUAAUCCAACUGGUAAGAGAAAAAAAAAGCUCAAACAAAACAAAUUGCAGAUAAAAAUGCAAGGAAAAUAAAAGAAAGGAUAUUUGUAAGCGUAUUGUUGGUGGAAGGGUCGACGAUUUCGAUGGGCUUGAUCUUGCUGAGUAGAACCUCGAGACCCUUAGUGACAAGGUAGUCGAAUGACUCUAUGUGGUGGCGGAAGAGCUCACGCACCGCCGCGAAGUCCUCCGCCGCCGCCAAUUGCUUCCCGAACAUCUUCGUCGGCUUCUCUUCUCUCUCCGACGUUGUCAUCUUUCUGAUGGUUCGUUCGCUGUUCAGUGAAGAGGGAAGGAAAGAAGGAAAGAAAGAAGAAGGGGUUUUGUUUAACAGAGGUUGCAGAGGCUUCAAACAUUCCAGGGUUUUUAGUUAGGGUUUUAGAGAUUUUUGAGCAGCUGGUUUUUUUUUUUUUUUUUUUUUUUUUUCGGUCGUAAUGUUGGUUUGGGCUUUUUGUUGUUUGUGGUUUGGGCUAACCGCCCAAGUUUUCGUUGGACAGUGUAAAAUUAUUAACAGUAUAUAAUUUUGCACAAUUUUUUUUUUUGACAAACGAUUUUAUAUAUACUAAAAAAAAAAAGUACUGAGUUUAACCUCACAAUGGACGUGAUUAUAACAUAUCUCUACUAUUAUAAAAUAAAAAUCUCUCUCCCUUUCUCCUUCCUAUUAAAAAAAAUGGUCACACACACAAAAGGCUCAGUCGAAUGUGAUUUUAAAAUGAUUGAAAGCGUUUUUGAUGAAAUUGAUUUUGGUUUUCAAAAGCACUUCAAAUGUUUUUUUUGGAAAAAGUAUUAGAUAUGUGUUUCUUGCAAGAAGCGCUUCAAAUUCUUAUCUAGAAUUCAUUUGGAUUUUACUAAGGAUUGGUUUCAAAACAUUUUCACUAAAAGCGCUUGUAGUCAUUUUAAAAGUACUUCCAAACGAGUCCACUGUGCGUGGACAUAUGCUAGUUUUGAUUUUCCUAGGGCACUCCUUUUGUUUUAAAAGUUUUUUUUUAUAUACAAAAAUAUAUUUACACAAGAGGGUGAGAGAAUAAAUAUCGAACGAGAUUCAAAUUUAAGAUGCUUAUUUACAAGUGAAAAAAAAUAACACUGAAUUAUAAUAUUAAGUGGUCAGAUCCACUCUUAACAUAAUUCGAAAGCAAUGAAGGAUUUCUCUAUUUCAGUUAAUUUUCAUUAUCAAACAUCAAAUUUCUCUCUUUAUGAUAUAUUUCGAGUAUGAAUGAGUGAUUUGUAGGUUAGGGUGCUUUUCUUCAAUCCACUAUGUCUCAAAUUUCAAAACUCUCUUACAUUAGUGUAGAAUAUCGUUUGUAUGUAUCUAUUAUUAUUUUGUUUGAACAAAUGAUAUUAUGAUUGUCACAGCCCGUCCCGAAAUAAAUUAUUGAUGACGUGAAUUGACUAUUUUACCCUUGGACGUGAGUGUUGUGGUGUGUGUUAUGCAUGUUAGGAGUGGUCCAAACUUAUGUUUUUCCUUAAUUUUUGUACCAAAGUAGCACUUAGUUUUGUGGUUUGGUUGGUGACCCACGUGGACCACUCACACACACACAAACCCUUCCUCUCUUUUCUCUCCCGUGCUUUCUCUCCCUCGGACUCACUCUUUCUCCUUUCUCCCGUACGGACGAACAACAAAUCUAGCAAAAAGUUUGUAGAUCGAGGGGUUUAAAGGACACCAUCGUGUUCUUGAGGUUCACACGAGUCAAAUGAUACCAUUUGUAGGUAAGAACUCCUUCAAAAACCCUAGUUUCUCUCGAACUUCGAUUUAGGUACUAUUCAUGCAAACAUAAAAUCACAUGUUUUUGGGGAUUUCAAGCUUAUAGGUAGCUUAAGGAGGUCCUCACGAGGCUAGGAGUGGUUCGUUGGAAGAAUCUGGACGUCGGAGUAUCGAGAACGAUGAGUUUUAAGUUUGGGCUGGAUUAUCGUGGAUUUUGCCGGCGAGAUUCCGUGAGAUUUAGGUCCUAAAACUGGUAAGGGUUUGUUCUACUUGUCUUAAGCUUCAUUUUGGUAUAUAAUUCGUGAAAUUUGAUUGAGAAAUGGACGAGAAAUGAUGAUUUAAAGAAAUUCCCAAUUUCCGCCGCCGGCGACGGUCGCCGAAGUUCUGAGGUAGGGGAUGACGGAAUAUUCCUAACAGCGUUGGUUAGUUUAAUAGAUUCCGUUAUUGUUUAACGGAGUAUUCCUAACGGCGUUGGUUAGUUUAACGGAUUCCGUUACUGUUUAACGGAAUAUUCCUAACGGGGUUAAGGGAUUCCGUUAGGGUCCCUGCGAGUGGGUGGCGCGUGUUGCCGUGCCUUGGCUAGCGCGUGAGUGGUCAGAAUUUUUUUCUAAAAAUAUGGGGAUGUUCGUGAGGUUGUGUAGAUCACGUUGGUAUAUUCAAACAUCACAUUUGAGCAAUGUAUGAGAAGUUAUUAGCUAGUAUUGGUUAUGUGCUUUAAAUUAACGUUUUUAUAGUUAUUUCGCAUAUAGGGGAAACUUAUCCCGAGGACGAGUGUAGUUAAGGGCGACUCGGGGGCUACGACCCUUCGACAUACCGAUGAGUGGGCUUUUGGUUUUCAAUAUAUAUUUAUAUACUUGAUAUUUUCCCAGAAAGUGUGUUUAAAUGAAAGUAUGCUUUGAAAAUGCCAUGCCUAUUGAAUUAUGCCUAAACUACGAGUUACUUAUUCUAUUUUAUGUUUUGGCAUGACAUACUUAUGAAUAUGGUUAUGUGAAGCAUGAUUUGAAUUGAGAUAUUUGUACAUAUAUAUUUAUACAUAUGUUUGUAUUCUAUUUAUGGGAAAAUUAUACAUGUUUUACGGCGAGGGGUUAGAACUUUUGAGAAAUGAAAAUGGUUUUGUAAAACAUUUGUUUUUGCUCACUCACGUUUUCUGUUUUGCUCCCCUCUAGGUUUUAGGUAAGCUUGCUGUUGGUGGCAUCGAGGAUUUCAGCGGUUCUGACAUAAUAAAAUAUUUGUAGGAUAUCUUUUGGUACUGUAUAAUUAGCACUUGUCCUACUGGACUGCACCUAGACUUUCUAUGCUUUGAUUAGGAGUAUUUACUUUUGUAUCUCAUUCCUAACACUUCCGGUUUAUUAGUGCACGUUAGUAGCUUUCGGUUUUUAUUCAUUCGUAUAUUUCUUAUUUUUAUUGCUUCCGCACUGUGCACAUGACUACGUCACCCUCACGUGACGGCCGACAUGCCUCGAUCUCAGUCGGGGUGUGUCAAUGAUGCACCAAGGGAAAUUGGUGGGCUUAAUUUCAUAAUGGACUAAUAAUAAUGUGGUUCGAAUUUGUAUUUGAUGAGAAAUGAAUAAGUGAAAAAGAAUAUCAAUAGACCGCUAAAUGGCUAGUAAGAAUUAUUUUUUAAACUAGGUGGAGCAGUUUUUCAAUUUUUAAUUUGACUCUCUAUUUUCAGUUUGAAUAGGUGAGAACGUUUUGUAGGGAAGAGAGGCAGCCAAAGGAGCUCUGCCUUCCGCUUCCAUUUAUUUCCCGCCAAUAUCGCUUCAUUCAACCUUUUCUCUCUCUUUCUCUCUCUCUCUUCCCCUCCCUCUCUCUCUCUCCUCUCUCGUCCUGGUGGUGGUGAUGGUGCUGUUAGGCCAGCUCGCUUCUGUUUCUCCCCGAAAAAGAAAGCAGAAAGAAAUAAUUCCGUUCCUCAUCAGGUGAGAUUAAACAGUAAAUGUUUAUGAAUUAUCUGAUGAACUUGUCAUCUUUUAAUGGCUUAUGUUUCUCUGAAUGUUCAAAUGGUGAUUUUUUUUUUUACAAGGUUCAAAUGGUGAUAUAUAUAUAUAUAUAUAUAUAUAUAUAUUCUUUUCUCUUUGGUGAUUGAUAUAUAUAUAUAUAUAUAUGUAUGUAUGUAUGUAUGAAUUUGUCAUCUUUUAAUGUUUGGCAUGCUUUACAUUGGAUAUAAAUAAAUUUGAUUAGUAAAGGAAACUUUAAUACACAAAAUAUAGAAUUAAAAAUUUCAAGAAUUUGUCAAGAAGAACAAAAGAAAAAGAAAACAAUUUCAAAACUUUAUUUCUUAAUAAUCGAAUCGUGCAAAUCACUGGGCAGCAAUCAUGCCAUUGAAACUGUAAACUUGAACCUAAUUCUACAACAACAACAAAAACCAAUCCUUAUCCCAAUAUCUUUGAGUCUUUUUCCAAGUCUUCCUAGGUCUUCCUCUACCCUUUAUCCCGGAGUCGCCGUCUCAUAGUCGCAUUUUCUAACCGAAGCAUCAGUAGGUCUUUGAGUCACGUGUCCAAACCUAGAAUAACAUAAAUUUUGCUUAUGAUGGCUUCCCGUUUAAAGAACGAUAUAGUAGGACUUUUCGGAUGCAGCUAUGUGUUUUAGGCCUCAGUUUAGACCAAACACUCAAUGAUUUAAUACCAAAAUUAUCCGAACCUGACUUGACAAAUUGUACAUUUAGUAUACCUCUUGUGUUGACAUUGAAAGUCUUUCGUUUUAGUACAAUUUAUCUUGCUAACUUCUUCCUAGUUUAUGUUAUUUAGUCACAAACUUGCUCCCUGAAGUAUUGAGUAUGCUAGCUAACUAAAUGAGAACUUUGACGAAAACCGUGGUUCUUAUUUUUGGCGCAAUCAGAAAGCAAAAGUAUAUUUCUUGCAUCUACAAUAUUGAUAGUUCAGUUUGUUUAAUAAUUUACUGGAAAGCUUGAUUUUUGAAUAUUAAGAUGGUUCACUUGCUUCUGGUCUUUGAUCGAGAUCGUUAAGGUAACAUCUAUGUGCUUGUCUGUAAUGCAUUUUACUCUUUUGUAGUUUUCAAACUGUUCGUAUGUGUAUGAAAUAUGCGUCUGUGCUGAGGAAAUGUUUUGUCUGAUCUAACGGAGUUCUCAUUUCCGAUAUUAUCAGGGGACAUUCUUAAAUCAUGCUCCAAAAUUGCCUAAUUGCUUGAUUGUCAAACAGAUACGCGGACGAGGAAAUCAUGCUUUCAAUUUCCUAGAUGCUUGAUUAUGCUGAAGAUUUGUGCUUGUGUAUGAGUUUACCGCAGUUCUUGCGCUUUCAUUCCAGAUGUGUCGUACUUAAGUCACUAACCGAUUCUUUUAGACUCCCGGGAGGAGGAGUUCUCUAUUAUAAGUUGUUAUUCUUACUAUUAUCUCAGAUUUUGAUUGAUGAUAUAAUGGGAUACAGUUAGCAAUUGUGAGAUAACUUUAUAGUUGCUAGAUAGGAAGCUACAAAAUCAUUUCCUUUCUCACGUUCACCUGUCAAAAUGGGUAGCGACGGCAGUGAGGAUGGGAGUCCUAAAGAACAUAUUAUCUUGCAUGGUGAACUGGAUUUGUGGAUUAUAGAAGCUAAAGCUCUUCCAAAUAUGGAUUUACCUUCGGAAAGAAUGAGACGGUGUUUCACCAUGUUUGGGACUUGCUCUACUCCCUUCGGUAAUAGGCCAACUAAAACAGCUUCGGGAAAGCAGGCAAUGAUUACAAGUGAUCCUUAUGUGUCUGUUUGCCUAGCCGGAGCAACUGUUGCUCAAACCAGAAUAAUUUCAAACUGCGAGAAUCCUUCGUGGGAAGAACAUUUUUGCGUACCUGUUGCUCACCCUGUUGUGAAGGUGGAGUUUCAUGUCAAAGAUAACGAUGUUCUUGGAGCAGAACUUAUUGGAGUAGUGGAGAUAUCUGUUGAUAAAAUCAUUUCGGGAAAGCCAAUUAAUGAUUGGUUUCCGAUUAUUGGCAAUCAUGGGAACUGUUUAAAACCUUUUCCUGAACUGCAUGUUUCUAUUCAGUUUAAGCCAGUUGAAGGUAACCCUUUGUAUAAGAAUGGUGUUGGCGCUGGGCCCGACUAUAAAGGAGUUCCUAAUACAUAUUUCCCCCUUCGCAAAGGAGGGAGUGUCACUUUAUAUCAAGAUGCUCAUGUACCUAACAAUAUGCUGCCAGAAAUUGUACUGGAAGGAGGGAAAAUUUUUCAGCAAGGGAAGUGCUGGGAAGACAUAUGUCAUGCCAUCUUGGAAGCUCAGCACCUUAUAUAUAUUAUAGGCUGGUCAGUGUACCACCGUGUUAAGCUUGUAAGGGAGCCAACAAAGCCACUACCUUCUGGAGGAGAGCUGGCACUUGGGGAGUUGUUGAAGUACAAGUCACAAGAAGGGAUUCGUGUUGUUAUGCUGAUCUGGGAUGAUAAAACUUCACAUGACAAAUUAUUUUUGAAAACGGUAAUUCCAUGAGAUCUGAAAGUUACAAAUAUUACAUGUUAUUACUAUUAGAAUGCAUUUUAUUGAUGAUCGUUUCAAUGCAGGAAGGUGUCAUGCAGACCCAUGACGAGGAAACCAAAAGGUUUUUCAAACAUUCCAGUGUUCAUUGUGUUCUUUCUCCUCGUUAUGCGAGCAAUAAGCUUAGUAUUUUCAAGCAACAGGUAUGGAACAUCUGCAUUUUAGAGCUAAACCCAUGUUGUUACUGGAAUGAUACAUAUCCUAUAGCGUCGUGUAAUUUCAGUUGCUCAUUUAAAUGGAUUCCUCUAGUCCAGGUUGUGGGAACCCUUUUUACGCAUCAUCAGAAAUGUGUGCUUCUUGACACAGCUUCUGGGAAUAAUCGGAAAAUAACUGCUUUCAUUGGUGGCCUGGAUAUGUGUGACGGAAGAUAUGACACUCCGGAGCACAGGCUCUUUAAAGAUGUCAACUCAGUCUUUCAAAAUGAUAUUCAUAAUCCUACAUUCCCUGUAAGUAGCGAUAUCACCUCUAUACAACUAUCUACAUUCUUGAGAUCAAUGUAUGAUAUGAUAUGUACUGAAGCAGUUUUCUUUAUUCUGUUCUCUCCUUUUCAACUUUGUUACGACACGGAGAAAUCUGUGCAUUUUUUGCUCAAUAGUGAGCAAUACGUGCAUUUGCCCAACAUUGGCCUGCCCCGUUUAAGCUUGAGUUUUGCUAUCAGAUUAUUCUUUAUAGUAUACUUUUCGCUUCUUUUUUUUGUUUUGUUUAUAUUUAUGAAGUUACAACCAAGGUUUAAUGUAUUAAUAUAUUAAUCAUAUCUUUUUGCUACCAGUGAUGUUUGGUUCAAUCUGCAUCUCUUUACUUUUCGACGUCUUAAGUGGUCUCCUUUUGUUGAAAGUUCAAACAAUAAAUAAGUAUAAAUAUACGGUUUUAACAGUUCUAUUUGUUGUAACAAGUACAGCCUAACGAUCAUGGCCCGAGGGAACCAUGGCAUGAUUUACACUGUAAAAUUGAGGGUCCUGCUGCAUAUGAUAUAUUGACAAAUUUUGAACAAAGAUGGAGAAAGGCAAAAAAGCGCGACUUCAAGAUAAAAAAGGUCACUAAUAGGCAUGAUGAUGCCUUGAUAAGGCUUGAUCGCGUUUCAUGGAUAGUCUCUCCAACUUCUAAUCGUGAUGGUGAACAAAAUGUACGUGUUAGCAGUGAAGAAGAUCGUGAGAACUGGCAUGUUCAGGUAGGGAAGGAAAAGUUUCAAUGAUAACAGCUUAAUACUGCAACUCAUUUCAAUGAAACUUUUACACAGAUGGUGGUCAGUUUUGACUCUUCUUUGAUAGGUAUUCAGGUCCAUUGACUCAGGAUCUGUAAAGGGAUUUCCGAAGGGCGUCCAGGAUGCUGAAGCGCAGGUUAGAACUAGAUUUAUGUAAUUCGUUUAUAAUCCUCACAGUUUUUUCUCACUUGUUUACUUUACCAAAAAUUAGUGUGUUAACCAUCUAGUUAAUUAGUAGCUUCUAACAGGUUUUUGUUCAUUGAUCAUAAACUGAGAGGUCAAACCCGCAAAUAAAACCCUUUAAUCUGACUUUCACUUCUUGCAGAAUCUUAUUUGUGGAAAGAAUUUGAAAAUAGAUAAGAGCAUCCAUGUUGCAUAUAUUAAAGCUAUACGAUCAGCUCAACGCUUUAUAUACAUAGAGAAUCAGUACUUUGUUGGAUCUUCAUUCUACUGGCCAUCGUACAAAAAUGCAGGUAAGUUACAGCUUAGUUUCUGGUGUUGCCAGGGUUACACUUUCGUCAGCUAACAUGUUAACAAAUACCCUUUGGCUCUCAAUUUUGCUCUCUCUUUUUCAUACUUUGCAAUAUCACCACCACAGGUGCAGAUAACUUGAUCCCGAUGGAACUGGCCCUAAAAGUUGCCAGCAAAAUCAAAGCAAAUGAGCGUUUCUCGGUUUAUAUAGUAGUACCUAUGUGGCCAGAGGGUGUCCCAACUGCCUCUGCUACUCAGGAAAUUUUAUACUGGCAGGUUAGACCAUUCUGUCUUCUGUUAUGCUACAAGGAACUCUUUGUUCUCUUGACCUUUUUAAAAUGUGUAAAAAGGGAAUUUCUCAGCCAUACUUUCUUGUGUGUGGAUAAAUUGGGAUGUAAUGAAUGCUAGAACUCGGUUGUUAUUUUGCCUUUCCUUUGUGAGUGAUCUUUGUCUGAUCAGUUUAUGUAUGACUCCUGAGUCCUGCCUAUAAGAAAUUUCCAAGCCAAGAACUAAAGUCAUAAUUUUUCUGUGUUACAACUUUUGUGAAAUUCUGCACUUUUGUAACGUAAGAUUUACUGCGAAGAAGAAACUUUGUCUGCAUUGACUGAUAUAGUAACUUUUGUUAGCUUGAUAGGCGUUGCUAGCAUUUUCCGUAACAACUAAAGAUUUUGAGCUCUAGUGGUUGUCUAACUUGGUACCACAGCUUUGGUUGCAAUGAGUUCGAAACCUCCAAUGCCCACUGGUGGGACUGCACCUAUAUAUAUAUAUCUUUAUCUGCAUUCAUUUGGCCAAAUCUCUAGGUGAGGGAAAUUUGGCCAUUUCCUAACAACGUAAGCUUUUAGGGUUUCACUGUUGUCUACAAUUAUAACCUUCCCAAUUCCCCGAAACAAGCACGAAAGUUUGAUACUACUCAGGCUUGGACUUUUUGAAUUCUUGCAAAGAAUGAAUUUAGAACUUUCAAAACUACAGUUAAAAAGUUGAUAAACAUUGUUGUAGGCUUCCCAGCUUGUCGAGUUCUUGAGUUAAUAGAGCCAACCAAAGCUUGCUUACUUAGUGCGUAAAGAUUACAGCUCCGGAAGUUACACCGGAGGGAGAACCGUGAUUUCUUAUUUCCAUUUUCUUGAGCUUAAUUUGAAGUUUGCUGGUCACCACAGGCACAGACAAUGGGUAUGAUGUACCAGGUUGUUACAAGUGCCCUUCAAGAUGCAGGCCUUUUCGAUCAGUAUCAUCCACAGGAUUAUUUGAACUUUUACUGCCUCGGUAACCGUGAAGCUCCAUCUUCAUCCCAACCUCAUCAGCC